rnacentral:lncRNA from 1 species
CUUUUCUUUUUCCUUGAUGGUUUUAGUUUAAUAUCUUCUACUAUUUUUUUUUCUUUGAGCACAUACCUUUCUUUUAUAAUCAUAUUUUCUUCCUUUAAGCAUAUACAUUUUCUAUUCCUACCCUCAUAAUGUCUUUAAGUCAGAACUUGUUCACAUCGAUCUUUUAUUGGAUGAUACAUAUAGUUUUCUUAUAAAUAUUGGUACUUUGGUUUUUGAGUGUGAUUGAUUACUACCAAAAAGUGCUAUUUUGUAGACCUAAUUAUAAUGGUUUUAAGCACCUUUGAGUAGUAAUCAUAUUUAUUUAACCCAAUUAAUUCAUUAAGGUCCUUAGUAAUUGGUUUUAACCAUUUUGUGGCAAGUUUACAUGUUUUUAUCAGCUUAUGAAUCAAUUCAAGCAUGCCAAAUGAUGGAGGAGCUACUUGGACAAGUUAUGGCAAAGCUUUUGGAAGCUCAAAUUCAUGAAGAACCAAGCUUUGGAGCUCCAUAGCCCUUUGCCAAAGUCGUUCAAAGUAUGCAAGGAAAGAACAAUGGAAAAGAGGAAAAGCAAGCAAAGUGAAGAGAAGCAAAGAGGACAGCAGCUGCAGUCUUCUUUUGCACUUUUGGAGUACUUUCCGAAGUCCAUUUUCUACAUGCUAUAUACCAUUUCAAAGCUCUGGAAGUCAAGAAUCCAACGCUUUAAACCGUGUAUGAUUUGGAGUUGAAAUGAGGAAGAUAUGGCCUUCGGAAGCCAACUGCUCCAGGUUAUGCGAAAUUCGCAUAACACCUUCAAAAUUUGCAUAACCCAAGCGUGUUGCGAAUUUUCCUCUGCUUUUGCCGACUCCACUUUAGAUAUUUUCCUUUGUAUUUUGUGAUGUAAUUUCCCUUCUUAUCCUUGUAACUAACAAAUCGCAAGCUUUUGCUUUUGUAAAGACUAUAUAAGGGGUGGAAAUCACCUCUUGGAAUAUAUAGAAUAGAUAUUACGUUUAACACAGAGAAAUAUACAGAGCUCUCUUGUUUCUCUUUUCUCUUUGCUAUUUUAUUUUCUUGGAAGCCAAACAACCUCUGAGGGCUUUUCCUUAGAGGAUGAUUGGCUAAAACUUUUAGUUUCUCAAAGUAUGGAUGUUAUGUGAUGGCUUGGAUGCAAUCCCAUGGAAAUUUCUCGCACCCGGAAGGUAAGGUAGUCGUUUUUCAUUAAUGGUUCAUUAAUGCAAAGUUUGGUUUUUAUUUCCUUUGGACAACUUCCAACGGCCAAUACUUGAUAAGCUUUUGGAUUUCUAUCCAUUAGUUAUCUCAUACGAGUUAUUGGAAGGUGAGGUUUUCAAUUCCAAGUUUUUCAUUAAUCCGUUAGAACCAAUUUCAAUGGCCAUUGCAAGGUGAGUUUAUCACCUAGAAUGACUUUGAGUUGCCAAUAUUUGGUAAGCUUUUGGCUUUAGACCAUUAGUUAUCUCUUACGAGCCAUUUAAAGGAAGUCUAAGGUGAAUAACCAUUGAUGAAAUUCACUACCAUCUGUUUUGUCAUUUUAAAGGAUUAAAACUUGAUUUGCUAAAUCCAUACCAGUUCGGGAAGCAAGCAUCACCAUAGUUGCAACCCUAAACCGAGGAGCCUAUCCUGAGAUUUCCAAUUUGCAUAAGAGCCUGAGCAUAGCUAUCCUAUCUUUGAGAAACUUGUUUUUACACCCUUUCAUUUUAGUCUUUAAUGUUAGCUUAGAUUAGUUUAAAUCUUUCUAAAACAUUUACAUAUUCUUUUAAAGCUAACAUCCAUAAGAAAAUCACUUAUUUUCCUAAUUUGAAUAUCACUAGUGUUUGCGAAAACCCUUCCCAGUGAACGAUCCUAGAACCACUAUGCUAUAGUAGCUUGGCUACUUUAGUAAUAGUAUUUAAGGUAUAAAUUUUGUUGAUACGCCUUUAAAGCUAAGCUACCAUGAGUCGAAUCAGUGAUGCAUCUUCUUCUCCUUCUCCUACUACUACUCCCAUAUCUUUUGAAACAAUGGAUCCUUCUCCCUCACGUUCUUCUCAACAUCUUCCAAGCUAUGAUUGAAAAACUUUUUACUUUGCAUAAGAUAGAUACUUGGGAUUUGGUACUUUUACCACCUGUAUGGUAUAAAUUAUAAGGAGACUUUUGCUCAUGUUACAAAUGUGACUAAUAUUUGUACUCUUAUUAUAGUUGCUUCUAUUUUUUCUCUUACUUAGAUGUAUUGUGACAACAAAAAUACUAUUUAGAUUGCUCACAACUUUGUUUUUUAUGACAUAACCAAAUGUUGCGACAACGAAAGCUUUGAUGCCAACAAUGUUAGUUCAAGAACACAAAGAUAAAACAAUCACACAUAUGGUACACGAGGUUUUAACGUGGUUUGGCCAACCAUGCCUACGUCCACGGAUAGAGAGAAUGAUUCCACUAUACAAUAGAGAAUAUUACAGAGGACAGAACUAGAUACAAGUAUUGGGUUCUCGAAACAUCCCAUGUUUCCCCACUCCUUGUAUCCAUACCUUACUACGAGCCCUCUCGCUCCACCGGGUACCUCCUGUUCUUCUUCACAUCUCUAUCCACCUUGUAUAGUCUCUACAGGCCCAUCUCCAUCUCAUGACUUUUUCCCCUCAUGACCUAGAAUAUUUAUAGAGAUAUUUCCAAGAACCUUCCUUAUUCUAUAAGGAAGUCUAAUAUUAUAAUAAUAUAUCAACUUAGAAAUAUUCUAUAUAAUAUUCUUUACAAAAAAGGAAUCUAUACUAAUUAAGAAUUUGAGACACUUCCUAUCAAUCUCCACCUUGGACCAAAUUCCAUGAAGUUAAUCUUCAAUCUCUCCAUGACACAAACUUUUUUGUAUCAUAUCACCACGAAAGAGCAAUUGACUCCACCUUCAGUGAAAAUUCCUUUUGUUUUCAUCUUGUGUGCUUUGUGAUCUUUUACUCUUCCAGAAAUCUUCAACCCAAGCUUUGAUACCAGUUGUUGCGAUAACGAAAGCUUUGAUGCCAACAAUGUUAGUUCAAGAACACAAAGAUAAAACAAUCACACAUAUGAUACACGAGGUUUUAAUAUGGUUCGACCAACCAUGCCUACAUCCACGGAUGAGAGAGAACGAUUCCAUUAUACAAUAGAGAAUAUUAUAGAGGACAGAACCAGAUACAACUAUUGGGUUCCUGAAACAUCCCAUGUUUCCCCACUCCUUGUAUCCAUACCUUACUACGAGCCCUCUUGCUCCAUCGGGUACCUCACAUUUUUCCUCACAUCUCUAUCCACCUCGUAUAGUCUCUACAGGCCCAUCUCCAUCUCAUGACUUUUUCCCCUCAUGACCUAGAAUAUUUAUAGAGAUAUUUCCAAGAACCUUCCUUAUUCUAUAAGGAAGUCUAAUAUUACAAUAAUAUAUCAACCUAGAAAUAUUCUAUAUAAUAUUCUUUACAAAAAAAAAAAAUCUAUACUAAUUAGGAAUUUGGGACACUUCCUAACACCAAACAUAUUAAAAUUGAUUAUCAUCUCACUCGUUAUCACAUUCAACCUAAGACUCUUACUUUGUCUUUUGUUUCUUCUUUCAAAUAGAUUGUAAAUUUGUUCAUCAAGUUAGACUUGUUCACCUGCAUGGUAUGGAUUAUAAGGAGGCUUUUGCUCAUGUUACAAAUAUGACUAAUAUUUGUACUCUUAUUAUAGUCGCUUCUAUUUUUUCUCCUACUUAGAUGUAUUGUAACAACAAAACUACUAUUUAGAUUGCUCACAACUUUGUCCUUUAUGACAGAACCAAACAUAUUGAAAUUGAUUAUCACUUCACUCGUUAUCACAUUCAACUUAAGACUCUUAUUUUGUUUUUUGUUCGUUCUUUCAAAUAGAUUGCAAAUUUGUUUAUCAAGUUAGACCCAUUUUCGUGUUUUUGACUUUUGGUUCACAAACUUUUGAUGCUUCUUGCAACCGUAUCAUGAGUUUGUGAGGGAUUUUAGAAGUUAUUAAUACAUUUACAAACUUUUGAUGCUUCUUGCAACCGUAUCAUGAGUUUGUGAGGGAUUUUAGAAGUUAUUAAUACAUUUAGUUACUAUAUAUUUAUUUAUUUAGUUACUAUAUAUCUUAUUUAUUUAGCUACAAUAUUAUAAUUAUUUUCUUUCGUUUUAGAAGUAAGAGUUAAUUUUUUUUUUUCGAAUCUUUUUUGGAUUUCAACAAAUAUUACAACUAAGUUACCCUUUAUUCAUUAGUCUUCAUUCAAUUCAUAUUAAUAACGAAAUUUUUUAAAAUUCCCAUUAUAUGAAAUGUCUAAAAAGAGAAAAACAUGCGAAGAAAAAAAAGUUCCAAUUUUUUUUUUUAGUUCUUAUAUUUUAUCAAGCACUUUUUGGAUAAAAAGUAAAAUUAUUAAAUGAGGUUAUAUAUGUAAUUUUUAAUACAUAAAAAUUAUUUUUUCAAAUAUGAGUAUUAUCCCAUCCUUUUUAAUAAAAUAUUUUUAUUAAAAAUAUAGUUUUUCGGUUUAAAAUAUUUGAUUGUUAUGCUAUCCUACACUUUGGACUCUUUUCCUUUAGAAAAAAGAAAAAAGAAAAAGAAAACAUAUAUAGAGUAUUUUUAAUACAAAUCAAUUAUUGAUUAACCCUCAAAACCUUUGCCACCAAAAAACUGGACAUAAUACUCAAACUAGGUUUAAAUCCUAAAUACAAAAAUAAAUUUGAAAAAGAUUUUGGGUUAGGUGGAAAAUAGGAGAUAAUUAGGCUUUAUUUGACAAUUAUUUUUUAGAACAAUUUUUUGUUUUUUAAAAAAAGAAAGGGAAAACAUGCUUGACAACAAGAAAAUUGUUUUCUAUAUUAUGAAACAUGGUGUUUUCUAUUUUUAAAAUAGAAAAUAUGAUGUUUUAAAAAAAUAUCUUUUAAUUAUUUUCAUUUGUUUUUGUUGGAUUGUUUUAAAAAAUAAUUAUAAAAACAUGUAAAAUGAAAUAAAAUACUAAAUAUAAAAAUGAUUUUUAAAAUACAUUUAAAAAUAUUAAAAACGGAUUAAAAACGUACAUCUUAUUUCCGAAACAAAUUUUUAUUUUAUAAAACAUUAGAUAAUAGUUUUCAAGAACCGUCUUUAAAAACUAUUUUCGAAAAUAGUUAUCCCUCAAACAAGAUCUUAAUUUCAUACGAGACCGGUAAUGUGAAUCAACAAAAUAGACAAACACACAUUUAUCUUUAAUUAAGAAUGUUUUUGUCCCAUGCAGAACUAAUUACAUUAAACUUAGCUAUCAUGCACCAUGUUUUCCUGCCGGUAAGUCAUUUAAGCUGCCAUGCGAACCACGCUCCGCCGACCUCCAUCACUCACAAUAAAAUUAAUCAUUCAUAAUAUUCAGAAGAUAUAUUAAACUGUGAGCAAUUUCAACAUGUAAAAUCACAUGGUAUGACUAUGAGAUUUGAGUUCUCUUUAUCACAGUGGCCACAGCAAUUAGUAAUUGUACAAAUGUCUUCUUACUGAACCUCCUUUUCAACGCACGAUCCUCUACAAAAUAAAACGAACAGUGUCCCGAAAAUUAGACCAAGAAUAUUUCAAUGAUCAACAGCCGAAUUCACUGACUUGCCUUAGAUCUUACAAGUAAGAUUAAUCCGGCCAAGUCUAUGAACUGAAUGUUGGAGAACCACAGAGAAAGGAUGAAUGCUUUCAUAGGGAAAAGUUUGCUGGGGCAUAGACUUUUGGUUGGCGAGAGUUGCGCCGUAGACUCAAGCAUGGGCAAAUCUAAUUUUGGCGUCAAACAUGUAAGAAAAAAGAAUAUUUUGGUUUAGAUUUUCAAUGAAAAUGUGCUGAUGAAAAAGUCCAAGUCUACGAUCUUGUUGUGCUUCAAAUAGUGAAGUCUUAAAGAGAACCUUCCUCUGUUGUACAAAGUGGAAUCACAGCCUCUAGUCUUUGCGGGGUUGUCCCUACAAAAAACUGGUCCUGAAACAGUCUUACUUUGACCUUGGACGUCGUAUGACAUCAUGAAUGCCAAAAACUAUUUACUAUUAUUAUAUAAAUUUCAAUGACUUUCUAUGUAAGAUUUCGUCACAUGCAUGAAAAUUUGGCUUGGGGUGCACAAUUGGAUUUGUCGUGUUAUUUAAUUUUCUUAUUAAACACUUUGAUAAUAUUUUAUAAAUCACUAUAAUUCUUCAUCAACGAUACUAGUAUGAUAUAUAUAUUAAAUCCAAAUUCUAUAAAUUUAAACUUUUAGUUUUUUUUAAUUCAAUAUGGUAUCAAAAUUUAAUUUGACGAGAAACCUCAUAUUUUUAUAUAAAUUCAAAUUUUAUCUGCCUUUCCACUUGUGGGUAUGAGACAGGAGGGUGUUGAGAGUAUUAUAUGUAUAUUAAACCAAAAUUCUAUAAAUUUAAUUUAAAUUUUUUAAAAAAUUGAUAAUUCAUAUAUAUUAUUUUAUAAAUUAUUUUAUCUUUACAUUCUUAUAUUAAUAUAUUGAUCAUAUUAGACUUCUCUUUUAAGUAAAAUAGUAUCAAAUUGUUAUUAGCACAAUAAGUGAUAUCAAAGUUUUCUUUUUGUACAAUACUUUUAAAUAGUUAAAAGUAGAUCAUUUAAAUUAAAUACACAUGUAUCUUAUAAUAAAUUUAUAUAACUUUUUUUGGUGGCAUAUAGGAAUCAUGCAUCCAAAAUUUUAAGAUUUAGGUCAAUUUGAGAAUUAUUUUUGAAAACAAUUUUCCAUUCUCUAGUAUAAAAAACACAAAAAACAUGUUUGAUAACUGAAAACUAUUUUUUAUUUACUGUUUUUAAGAAUAAAAAAUAGGGUGUUUUCAAAUAAUAUCUUUUAGUUGUUUUUUUUUAUUAUUUUUACUUGUUUUUUGAAAGAAGUUUUGAGAAAUAAUUAUAAAAAUAUGUAGAAUGAUUAAAAAUAAAACAUUACAUAUAAAAGUUAUUUUUAAAAUAUAUUUAAAAAUAUUAAAAACAAAUUAAAAAUACUUUAGGUUUUCAAAUAGACUUUUGUUCUAUAAAAAUUAAAAAACAAAUUUUCAAAUUAUUUUUGAAGACAAUUACCAAACAACCCUUAAUUUUUUCUUCAUACUUUCCUUUCGAAAUAAUAUUUAAUAUGACAAGAUAAACUAAAUUGGUUUCAUUAGAGAUGUGGUGGCUAGUAUAAUGACAUGUAGAAACUUGUAGAGUAACUUCUAGUAUUAAAAUAACCAAACCUUUCCACAAAUAUUUAGGGUGGUUGUGAAAAGAAGUAUGUGUAGCUACAUUAUUGGACCCAAUAGGAUGCUCCAAAAAUGUUGCCUUUCGUGAUAGGAAUGCCCCUUCAAAAGUCAUAUUACUUGUACUACCAAGACACCACCACUAAGUAUUUAUCCAUAUCUUAAUCCAUGUGUGCAUGGAGAUGAACACAAAUAUAUAUAGAAAAGAUAAAUAUUAGAAGACAAGUCUCCACAAAGAGACAAAGAUAUGGAAGGCUUGGGUCAACCAAUCCCGCUAUGCGUGGCAAAUGUUUCAGGGGACUGCGUAGGAUUGAACAGCCUUUGCUUGAGGGAAGAUCAAUCUAUGGGUGGGAGUGAAGGCAGAACUGGAGAAGUAUUGGAACAGGUGGGUCACCUCAGUUGACUAUGAAACAUGGCAUUAGUCAACGCAAAUCUUGGCUUUGGAUCUCUACAUCGGUGCUGAAUAUUGUUGAACGGAAACACGUGGCCAGCUACAUUGGUUCUAGACAACAAUGGCUGCAACAAUUAACCUGAAAUUUAAAAAUUAUUGGUCCAACUUAGAAAGAUAGAUUUGAUUUAUGUGUGGAGAUCUUGAACAGCUCAAGUCAACCCCACCAAGUUAGCAAGAAAGUAAGGGUUGGAUUCUGUUCUUCAUGUGAGGCCUAGGCUCUCGGCUCUCCUUAAGAGCUAGGUUAGGCUUGGCUUGUUGCAUACUAAUUACUAGUUAUUAUUAUUAUUAUUUUUAUAAUUAUUAAGAUUAUUGAAAUUUGUAUUUAUAUUUUUUCUUAUUAAAUCAUUUUUUGUUUAAAAAUGAUUUUUUAUAAAUGAUUAAAAACUUAUUGUUUGAUGUUUUUAGAUAUUUUGGCUGUUUCAGUUUCAUAUUCUAGUUUAACAAUUUUAAUUUUCAAAAUUUUAAAGUAAUAAAGUUAAAAAUAUAGAUAUCUUAUAUUUAAAAUAAAGAAAUUAAAAUAAUAAGUAUUCUAUAUUUAAAGCCAUUAAUAUUCCUUAUAUUUUGUAAAAUUCAUUUUAAUCGUUGAAUUUGUUGAAAAUAAAAGAAUAUGACCAAAAAUAGAAUAAAAAAUAUUCAUGUUUUAAAAUAAUAGUCGGCUACGGAUAUGAAAGUUGAACGCAACUAUGUAGUCAUCGAGGGACAUUAUAUUAAAGGCAAAUUACAAUAUAUCAAAUUAGCAUCAUGCAAUUUGGACCGUUGAAAGUGCAUACUAAAAUUUAGAUCAUUGGAUAAAAGUAUAAAUAUAUAAGACCAAGUAUGAACAAAUGAAAUUGGGAAGAAAUAAAUGAGAGUAAGACAAAAAAAUACGAAAAAAAUUUGAAUAUAAAACAAUAAGACCUAAAAGUGCCUACAUAACAUGAUGUGAUCAUUUUUUGGCAUGUACACGGGUACUAUCAUGGGACCCUAUGUUAAAAUGUGACCAUCCUUGUCAUAUCAUCCAUUCCACAAGCAUAUAGCCCCAUUCACAUUCUCUAGCAUUCCCUUUCUUCACAGAGAAAAAUGACUUCUUAUCUUCUUUUGUAACAACCAUUUUUCAUGCGACUUUAUCAAACAACAACAGAGAAGCGAUCAACUCAAAUCUCUCUCCUUGAUUCAUCUUGACAUUAACUAGAGGCCAUGAGGACUAGGCCAUCCAUGAAGCUUUUAAUGUUUAAAAAUUAGAUCAAAAUUUGGAGCGGAAAGUUAAUUGAUUUUUCAAAUAUUGGCCAAAUAGUAAUGAAAUAUUGAUGGGUUUUUACAACUCCAUAUGAUGGAAAUUAUUGCAAGAUUUUGGAGAAAAAAUUGUCAAUGUUUUACCAUUUAUUUUUUUGAAUUAACAUGGAACCCUAAUUUUUAUUUAUUUAUUUAUUUAUUUUUGGUGUUGGCCUCCUACCAUAUUCGAAAAAUUCACUAAAAGUUUAGUGGAUUUUUCUACAUUUAAACCUUGCUCUUAAGCAAAGUCAUUUCUAGAGUUGGAACUUGGUAGGUGAGGUUAGGUUUAAAGUGUAUCCAAGCUCAUCAUGAGUUUUUAGCCUCCCAAUCUACAGUCUAAUAAAACCAAAUUUCUAAACUAAUCAUAUUUUCAACCCAAACUCUUUUUAGCUUGACCUACUUAGUUUAACGCUUGGGUUGGGUAGAUUGAGCAAAUUAGGCAAAUAAUGUUGAAAAUAUCGCUUUUGACAAAAAUUUCAAUAUCCAUAUUUUAUGAAAAUAUCAAUAAAUUUUUUGAUAUAAGUGGAAAUGAUUGUUGAGAUUGGAAAAAUUGACCAAAAAUAUGAAAUUUUUGAAUGAAAAUUUGAGAAAUGAUAUCAAACUAAUGAUUGAUGUGGUUCAAAGAUACUCAAGGAUGAAGGAUUACCAUCUUGAUUUAAACAUUAUUAUUACCACUAUAUGAACUUUGCGUAACAAUGAUUGUAGAUAGCAACAUGCCAAACAUAGGUAUUUGGAUUUCUUGUCACCACAUCUAUAUGUAUAGGAAUAAUUAUAUCCCAUAAUCAUCAUAAGUUGAUUUUAUUUGAAAUUGUAGACCUUGUCCAUAACUAUAAUUACAAGGAGAAAAAAUGUUUGUCUCAUUAUAUGAGUUAUUGUGUUGACUCCCUACACUCAUAUAUUCAAAACUUUCUAAAAAGAACUCCUAGGCAUCCUUUGUUAGGUCCCGAUGUGCCUCCUCCCUAUGUAAGGCUUCCUAAUAACCCUUAUUACUAAACCUACUAUUCUAUACCAAUGGUUUUCAUCUUAUGUGCAAUAGGUGAAGUAGGCUUCAUUAGUAAAUAGGGUCAAUCGUUGUUGACUUUGGUCAUAUUAUCCAACAUCUCCUCAUCAUCACCAUCAUCUCGAUCAUCUUGAUCAUUAUCAUUAUCACCAUCAUCAUUAUAAAUAUCAACUUCUUCGUUAUCUCUUUGAGGCAUCAAAACUAUAAGUUAGUUUGUGCAACACUCAUCAAUUCAAAGCUAAUAGGAGUAGGUUGUGUUGGCAGUCCAAUUAUCAGCUUAAACAAACCAACUCCACUUUUAGUGUCACUUCUCCCAACUUUUUCAAACAUAACUUUAUCAACAUUAAUUCCAAACUCACAAGCAUGUGCAACUACUUAAAUUUACUAAAACUUUUAUAUUUCAUGUGUAACUCACAUAAUUUAAAGAAGCAAGGGAAGGACUUAGUGAUCAAACUACAGUUACAACUAGAAAUGAAAUGGUUUCAAGUAAGUUGUUAUUUGUUAACACUAUCAAAAGUACAAUGUUGAAAUCAAACGACUUUUGAUUAUCAAUAUAUCAAUGCAUAUUAUGUUAUUUCCUUUUCUAUGGUUGAAUAGUGGUUUAUGUAUGGGAGCCAAACUUGUACAUUACGGAAGCUGGCAAUAAGAAUCUCAUCACAAAUUGUAUCAUCUUCAACUUGUGAGAGGAACCAAAGCACAUUUGUCCUUAUUCAUACAAAACAACAAAAUCAUUUUGCUUAGGCAAAGCUUCAAUAAUUGGUUCUUGUUAUUACGACAUGAAGAUAAAGUUAUAAGACACAGAGGUCAAACAAAAUAAAGUGGUGAAAAUAAACUUCUUAGAUUUUCUAGACAUCUCAACAAAGCCAAGAGAAUUAUAGGACCAAUUGUCCUAAUGGGUAAGGCAUGUAUACUUGGAUGAUGAACAUAGGAAUCCCAAAAUGUAAUGACAAUAGAAAUAAGUUUGUACUAAAAUUUCAUUAAAGCAUAGGUCUCAUUACCAAAUUAACAUACAAGAAAAUAGACUUUUAGUGACAAACUGAAAUAAAAUUUAUGUUUGCUAAAUUAAAAAAAAAAAUCUAAGUUGACAAGAAAAUUAUGAUAUAUAUAUUGAUGUAAAGAACAAUUGUUAUACAUACUUAAAUGAGUAUGAAGAUGAGUUAUUAGAUGUGUUAGCCCAAGGGUUCUCCUAAUCGAGUUUUGAUGAUAACAAACCAUGGUUAAGUGACUAAUUGGUUUGAAUGGUAAAGAAUCUUAGGUAUAAAUUCGGAAAUUCAUCAAAAGAUCAAAUGGAUACAAGAUCGAGACUUUUGAAAGAAUUUUGAUAAUAGGAAACGAAUGUAAGAUGAAUGCAUGGGCGCACUUAGGUUUUUCAUAUUGUUUCAUGCAUAUUUGAAAACUCAGUUUAUCCUUUAAAAUUUCGAUUUCAUUAAAACCUGAGUUUUAUCAAAUGUACCUUAGGUAAAACGUGUCAAAAUUGACAUAUUAUUUUACUUAAAGACCUUGCCUAAGUGUUAGAAAAGAAAUGAAUUGAAAAAGAUAGGUUUUGGGGGCCAACCGGUUACCCUUGUCCUAUCGAGGUUCGGUUGAAGAGUGCCAAAAACUCUCUCUCUCAUCCAGUAGCUUCCUCUUACCGAUUGAGGUUCACCUCUUCCCGGUCGAGGUCCGGUCAACCUUUGGUUGAGGCAACGAUAACCUGCUAAAGCAUUAAAUACUCCAACGGCUAGUGAAUUGGUCGACCCCUAGCUAGACCGAUCGAGGUUGCCUUUUGCUGUUUUUGGCUCCCGAGCUUAGAAACCUAUAAAUUGAGAGCUCCACUUCAUUUAUGACUUAGACAACACUUGCAAUCAAUUGUCUACCUACCUGUUUUUGGCCUAAAAACUCUCAUUUAUUUCUUAGUGCAUUAAAUCAUCACUUGCAUAUCUUUUAGUGCACCCUUGUGAGUCAUCCUAGCUUUGUUUUGUAUUUGAGCUAUCUUUGAGCUAGGUUGAGGGAUUCAUUCUUGUAAAAACUGAGUGUUAAAGCCUUCAAGAGGUUUGAAUCUUGAAGAGAUUGUGUAAGAGCCCAUUGAAGCCGGAAUCCAAGUGUAAGAAGAUUGGAAGCUUGAUUGAAGCUUCAAGCUAGUGGAACCCUCACUCAGUUAGGAGAUUAAGGAGAGUGGAUGUAGGCAAGGAAGUGUUGAACCACUAUAAAUUUUGAGUUUGAAUUCUCUAACUCUAUCUCUUUAUUUCUUGUUUAUAAUGUGGUUGAAUUUGUUGUAUUGAAAAAGUUUUUGAAAAACCCAAUUCACCCCUUUCUUGGGUGUUUUUUUCUCCUUUAAGCAUAGCUUUUAUUUUCUCAAGAUGCAAUGAGAUGGGACUAGGAUGUCCAUGUUAGACUCAAGCUUUUCAUAACACAAGAUGGUGAUGUAGAAAAAAAGGUGGGGGAUGGGGGAAGAUAGAAUUAUAUCUCAUAACAUUUGUAUGAUUUUGAAGUUCUCCAAACAUGAGUAGUAUUGCAAUUGCUUAUAUAGAUGUUUUUGCAUGCUUAAGAUUGAAGUUGUGGUUACAAUUUUAGUAAUGUAUAUUUGAUAAAGGUUGGUAAGUCCAAAAGUAAAGCACAUUAAUUAUGUAAUAAUCAUGAAGCAUGUUGUAUGUAAUGCGGAGAGUUAUAUGAGUUGAAGAGAGAUAUGAUUAGAUUUGAGAUAGAGUCAAAGAAUGAGCUUCUUUCAAAUCCUAAGUGCUCAACUAGCAUACCAACUAACUUACUAGCUUAGAGUUGUGAGACUUAUUUUUAUUUUAUGUCAUUCAUCUCAUCUCCAUUGCUUUCUUGGGCUAAAAAUGGUCCUCCAAAAAUUAGUUUGGAAAAGCUUUUGAAAAUCACAAAAAAGUGAGAGCAACUAUCCGUAUUCUUAAGCAUGAUAAUAAGAUUAAAGUUGAUGGUAAGACCAAAGUCCAUGGUAAGAGACUUGACCUUUAGCUAUGAGAUUAGCCAUUGAAAGGUGCUUAAAAUUCAGUAAAAAAGGAAAUAAAACCAAGAUUUUUCAAUUAGAUUUGCAAAGAAAACUAAAAAAGCAAAAUAAGGCUCAAAAGAGUUUUUUUUUUUUAGGGAAAAUCACUUCGUGCAAGAUAUCAAACACUUUGUAGUUCUCAAAGUUCCAUUUAAAAAAUGGUUCAAAGCAUCUUCAAAAACAUCAAAACAAAGGGAAAAAAUUCCCAAAAAAUUAACAAAAGAUGGUCAAAGACCUCAAAUCCAAAUGAGCCCCAUAUCAUGAUUAACUCAAUGAGCUUCAAAAGGAGAAAACAACCCAACAAAUGAACAAAAUCAAAUCAAGCAAGGCUUGAAAAACAACCGAACAAUAAAUUAAUUAAGAGAACAAACAUUUCAUCAAGCAACCAAAAUAAAAAAAAAAGAAAAAAAAGAAAAAGAGAAUCCAAAGAUGAAAAACAAAUAGCCAAAUAACACAUGUAGCCUUUCAAUAUCUACAACUAAUAUAUUCAUCAUCUCAAGAAUUAGAAGAAUAUGAAAACAAACUAAAAAUAAACUUGUAAAAAUGGAAUAAAUAAAAAAGAGCUUACCAGGUGAUUUCUUCACAAGUGAAACACUUGGCUUCUAGUAAGCUUCCAAUUCUUCUCCAAGCUAAGCCUUCUUUAAAGCUUUCUCUUCUUCUCACUCUUUCUUUGAAAUUUGAUAGAGUUUCCCUUCAAAAAGGUUAGAGAGAAAUCCCCUUAAAAAUGAGCCUCAAGGCCCUUAUUUAUAGGGCAAAGAACGGUAAACAUUUUAACACAUAUCAUUCUCCACCAAAGCCCUUAUGUAUAGACUUUUGCUAUUUUCACCAUUGUUUUCUAAAGAGAGGAACCCUAACCAUCCUCUAGAGAGGGAAAGAAACCCACCAUUUUUUGUGCUAACUAUGAAAGGAGAGAUUAGGUGGAAAAUCAUUGGGUAGACAAGUUUUAUGAUGACCACUACAGUUUCAAAGUCUUUAUUAGAUCAAAAUUGAUAUGGAAACAUCCAAAGAGCAUGUAUGAAGCUUUCUAAUUUUAGAUUUAUAUUUCUUUUGGUUUUUGAAGCCAUAAUAUUUUGUUGUGUUAGAUUUAGAGAACCCUAGGAUUAGAUGCAUGCAUGGUCCAGGGCUCAGAAAUGGAUCAAUCUAGAGUUCCCAACAAGAAAGGAAAAAAAACAACAAGGCUUAAAAAAGGGGUUGAAACGAAGUAAAAAAAAGAAAAAUUUGGUCAACAAACAAGAGAAUCCGUUAAACCGGUUGUCUCAAUGUAGACCCUCCAUUUUGUCUUACUAGCACAUGUUAUUAUAUGUGUUUCUAUUCACUUCUUGUUGUCUUAUAGCCAUUUCAUGGUGGUCUAUUGUCACUCAUUUGAUUUACUAUUUUUUGAGCCACUUUUGGAGAUUUAUUGUUGAUGGAUUUUUUAUGGACCCCAAAUGCAACCUUAGUUGCGCCUUAGUUUAACUUACUUACUGUAUUUUAGGUUUAGUUCACUCAAUUCCAUUCUUAGUCUAACUCACUUAGUUAGAUUUAAGUUGCAUUUUAGGUUUAGUUCACUUAGUUGCAUUUUUAGUCUAGCUCAUUUAGUUACAUUUUAGGUUUAAUUCACUUAUUUGAGUUCUUAGUCUAGUUCACUUAGUUACAUUUUAUGUUUAGUUCACUUAGUUGCAUUUUAGGUUUAACUCACUUAGUUGCAUUUUAAGUUUAAUUCACUUAGUUGCUUUCUUAGUAUAGCUCGCUUAGUUGCAUUUUUGGUUUAAUUCACUUACUUACAUUCUUAGUCUAACUCACUUAGUUGUAUUUUAGGUUUAAUUUACUUGGUUGCAUUCUUAGUCUACUUCACUUAGUUGCAUUUUAGGUUUAGUUCACAUAGUUGCAUUCUUAGUUUGACUUAAUUGCAUUUAAAAUUUAGUUUACUUAGUUGCAUCCUUAGUCUAGUUCAUUUAAUUACUUGGUUACUUUUUAGAUUUAGUUCACUUAGUUGCAUUUUAGGAUAGGUCAUCUAGAUUCAUUUUAGUUCAUUCCAUUUAGGUGCACUUUAGGAUAGAAUUUGAUGUCACCUUGCAUGACAUGUGCAUUGAAGGUCUUUGGGGAAUCUUGGGAAGGAUGUGCGCAACCAUAAGGAGAUUUAAAGAUAAGGAAAUAUUAAGAUUUGGGGAGUCUUUGAGAUGGAUCCUCUUUGGAUAUACAUGACCAUAAGGAAAAGAUAAGGAAAUGUGAACUCUUUGGGAAAAGGAAGAUAUGUGUGGACUUGCAUUUUUCACGUGCGUUCCCACUCAAUCGACGAGACUUACUUUUAUUGGUGAAAAAUUAGUUUUGGAAAAGUCAGAGUCGCCAUUUAUUUUAUUUUAUUUUUAAAAGGGAAAAUAAAACAAGAAAGAAAACCCUAAAUAAGUGACUCCAUAGUUUUUGGAAAAACGUGUCUUUAAAAAACUCGAGUCUAGAUCUGGGGAUCAAGUUAUCUAUUAGGAAGGUACCUCUAAAAGGUAGCACCCUUCUAAGACGCUCAAUGGUCUGGCUGUUUCCUAGAUGCAGAUGUGUUUCACCAAAGCUUUUUCUCCGAUGCGGCCGAACUCGAACCCCAUUUCACGUGCUCAAAAUUUUCUUUCCUUCGUGCGGUUGCUUCCUUCUCCAGAAUGCUGGAUCUUCCCCUUCCAAGUUCUAGAAUGGUGCAGUUGCACCUUUUCUUCUCUAAGGUGCAGAUACGUCUUUUCUUCUCUAAGGUGCGUUGCAUUUUUUCUUCUCUAAGGUGAGGCUGCACCUCCAUUUCCCGUCUUUCAGCUACAAAUCGUGCUACCUCUCCUAGAAAAUCAAACUUUCAAAGCCCUCUCCACGUGCUGAAAAUCUCUUUCCAUCAUCUCAAUGAUCCUGCAAAUUGUGCCCUUCUCCUCUUUUCAAAGGCUCCGUCUCCCUUGCUCUCCAAUGGUGUAACUGCAAAUUUUUUUUUUUUUUUGGUUUUUUUAAAGGCACGACUUCACCUCUACUUCCUGUUUUCUGCCGCAAAUUGUCCUCACUCUCACUGAAAGCCAAACCUUUAUUAUUAUUUUUUUUCGCUCUCCUGUCAUUUUCUUUCUUCUUCCUAUUUUUUUUUCUCUAUCUCAUCCAGCUUCUUCACUCUCCAUUUUCCGCUCGUUGACUCCACCAACAUGGGAAGACAACUCACCCGCCCGGAGAGAGCCUCAAUCGUCCGUGUCAUUCCAGCAUGAUCGGAACUCUCUAUCUUCUCAAAACAUAGCCCACAUUCUGUCCCUAUACAUCUGCACUCCUUCCCAUUGACUUCAAAACAAUGUGUAGGUCCUUCAAAUGUCCCCAUUUUGGUUGGUUCAGAUUACCAAAUUCAUCAAGAGGUGCAUCAUAAUAUAUGAUGUCAUAAUGUAUGGACCACCAACUAUUCUACCAAAAUUGGUACCACCAUGAUACAUGUAAUAGUCUUGGAAUGUGCCGCCAGUUUUGUAAGUAUUCUCUAGAGUAUUUAUUUGAAGUAGGAAAAUUUGGCCCACUAAAGAGAAGACGAGUGAUACAAUUGUUGCUAUCCUUAACCAUUUUCUCUAUCUUCCUUGGAAACACUACACCGCUAAAGAAUUGAAAUGGAACCUUAGAAACAAUCCCAAAUAAGAAAAUAUGAAUACCUAGAUAAAAAGUAUAACACAUAAAAAAUACAUAUUAGACACAUUUAAUAAAAAAAGAAAUUAAACUAAUGCAACAUAUAAUAAUAAUCGAAGUGUCAAACUCAAACCACCAAAAAAUAAAAAAAUUCAUUUCAUCCAAUCAUAAAAUAAAAUAAAUAAACAAAAAUACAAAUAAUAGUAAUAAUGAAAUAAUAUAAAAUAAGUCAAAACUCACUUAAUCCUAAAAUCAAAAUAAAAUAAAUAAACAAAAAUACAAAUAAUAAUAAUAAUAAUGAAAUAAUAUAAAAUAAGCCAAAACUCACUUAAUCCUAAAAUCAAUAAAUAAAAUAAAUAAAUAAAGAAAAACAAGAAAAUAAAUCUAAGUGAAACUAAACCUAGAAAAGUGCCUAGGUGAGCCUACAGUGGUGCCUAAUUGGCCAAGUGUACCUAAAUGGGCGUAGGGUACAUAAGUGGGUCUAAGGUGGUGCCUAAUGGGCCAAGUGUACAUAAAUGGCCCGAUGGUGCCUAAAUGGGCCUAAGAAGGUGCCUAAUGGGCCAAAUGUACCUAAAUGGACCGAGGGUGCUUAAGUGGGCCUAAGGAGGUGCUUAAUGGGCCAAGUGUACCUAAAUGGGCUUAGGGUGACUAAAUGGGCCUAAGGUGGUGCCUAAAUGGGCCAAAUGUACUUAAAUGGGUGUAGGGUGCCUAAGUGGGCCUAAGGUGGUGCCUAAUGGGCCAAGUGUACCUAAAUGGGCCAAUGGUGCCUAAGUGGGCCUAAGGAGGUGCCUAAUGGGCCAAGUGUACCUAAAUGGGCAUAGAGUGCCUAAAUGGGCCUAAGGGGCCAAGUGUACCUAAAUGGACCUAGGGUGCUUAAGUGGGCCUAAGUCUAAAUUAGGACUGCUAAGAGUCACAAUAGAGUUAGAUAAAUCCCUCAACCAAAGUCUCUAAGGUGGCUUAGAGAAUAUAGGCUACACGAGUAGUGAUGGGCCACCAGGGUAUUGUUGUAAAAUGCUGAACAAAUACCUAAUAGGACAUGUGCUAAGAGGGCAAACUGGAGGGUCUACAAUAUGCAUGACAAAUGAGAAGAUUGAGAGGGAAAAAUAUUAUUUUGGAAUAUAAUGAUGACAUUGGUUUUUGGAUAUUUGGAGUACUCUCAUGGGAAGACAACUUUGAAAUUUUAAAAAGGAAAAAGAUUUUUGAGAUUAAGAACUCUCUUAAGGGUACGACUGUUGCCAUUGAGAUUGAUAUACAUGCAUAGGGAGCAUUGAGAAUUUGGUGAUAUACAACAUAGGAGAUUUUUUGAGAUUGAAGAGGAUUCAUAGAGAUACACGACUAUCAUAUUGAGAUAGGACAAAGAUUCAUGGAAAAAGGACAAUGUUCACAACAUGAAGGCUUUUUUGGAAAGAAGAAAAGAAUUGUCUUGAAGACAAGACACAACAUUGAGGAGUUUUUGGAAAAGAGGAGGAAUAUUUUGGAACAACAUUGAAUGGGAUUUUUUGAGGUAGACAUGAUUGCCAUUGAGAUGGGGUUCACAAAAAAGAGAUUUUUAAAGAGGAGAUGACUUUUUUUAAAGGGGGAUUUGUGGUUGCUAUAGAGAGAUAGAAGAGAUAGGACUCUCUUUGGUACAAGUUUUUGGAAUUUUUGAGGAAGAGAUGACUUUGUUUUUUUGGGACUGUUAGUUGCCAUAAAGAUUGGAAAGAAAAUUUAAAGUCUUGGAGAAGCUAAGGGCAUCACGACAUAAGGAGAAGAGGGAAGAUCAAUUUGGAUUGAGAAAUGAAGCAAAGUUUCAUAUUUUUUUAGUGGAGAAAAGAACAAGUUUCAUCUUUUUGGAGGAAAGCUAUGAUUCUCUUUUAUUCUUUUUGCAUAUCUUAAUUAUGAUAAUCUCUCUAUCUUUUAUUUUUUUUCCAUCUUACUUAGAUAUGAGAAUUAUCUUUGGUUGGUGUGGAUGCAUAGGCCACACAAAUUGUUGGUAUUUAAUAAUUGGAUGAUUGAUUGUUUAUGCUUAGGAUCUAUUUCACUCAUUGUUUUCCUUAUUUUUUUUUUUUUUUUACUUAGUUUAAGCCUAUUUGAUAUCACAUGAGAUGAGGUCUUGCAUCACAUGAUUUCUUUACUUUUGGUUCAUUUUAUUUGAUUGUUUCUUUGAGAUGUUAGAGUUUAGGUUUAGAAUUGCCUCUCACACAUUCACACACACACACACACACACACACACACACACACACCUACUCUUACCUUGAAUUUUGUUUUCUUGUUUUCAUCCUAGGAUCCUAUGUGAAUUGAUUGUUUUAGAAAAUUUUCAAGGGUUUUUGAAAUUUUUAACUAAGAAAUAGAAUAAGAGUUUGAAGACUUGGUAUGGGAAUAAUGUAAGGGGAUUUUUGAAUUGUUAUUGGAUAAGAAAUUGAGAUCCUUGGUGUGAGGGAUUAGCUAAAUAUGAAUAAUGUUCUAUUUGGUGGAGGUGUUUGAACAUGGCAUUGGAUAUGUUAAGAGAACUCAUGAUAGACACAGAUGAGAGGACAAAAAAAAAAAAAAAAAAAACUUAAGGAAAAACAACAAGAAAAUGAUAUGUAGUUCUAGAAAGACAAGUCAUAGACAAACCUUAGAAGGUUAAGGCUAAGGUAGUGUACGUUAGAAUCUCUUGAGAACAACAUCAGAGAAGGAUGUUGGUGAACACUAACUUUUAUGCCAAGAGUUAAUAGGAGGAAAAUGCAAAAAAUAAAGGAAUUUUAAAAAUGCAAAGGUUUAGCCUUCUAAAAAUACCUUACCUUCGUCCCUUGAAAAAAAAUGUGGCAUUAUUUAUUUCAGACUAACAUCAAGAAUAGGAGCACCAAACUUAACUUGCCUGGUGCUUACAAUACAUGUAAGAGACUUAGUGCAUGGACUUCUAAGGGCAACAAUAAUUGUAAAUACCAUAACACCGAGUAUUUGGCAAAGUAUCAAAGUUCUAAGAGCCUUAUUUCAACAACUUUGAAGAUACUUCCACACUAAUAGAAUGCAAUUUCUCAAAACAAGGGAUAUGGCACCAAGGCUUGUCAACUAGCUAAGAUAUUUCUAUCAAAACAAGAUCUUGUAUUCACAAUCCCAUAAUUAUUAAUUAAGAAUCAUGGGAUUGAUCUAUAAAAGCUAAAGGUUCGAUCAAAGAUAGACAAAAUUGUUAACCAAUUGAGUGUUACAAUACAUAUCACAAAGAAUUAUGCAUAAAGGUAAUCUUUACUUGCUUUAUUUUGAUUUAGAUGUAUGAAAACAUAUAUACAAUGAUUGAGAAUGCUUAUAGUAAUGUUGAUCUCAAUUGUCCUAAACUAUAGCUACCUCUUAAAAUGAAAAGAUUGUGUAUUACAUGAGACUUUUAAAAAUAAUAACAAUAAAAAAGAAAUAUGUACCUUUAGUCCUUUCCCUAAAAUAUAUAUAACAAAAAUUCAUUAAAAAUUCAAAAUAAAGAAGUUCAUAGAUAAAGUUUAUUUUUCCUAAAAGAAAUUUUGCUAUUGCUUAUUAUCUCUUAUCAAGAAUAAAUAGGUAAUAUUCAAGUGUUUCAAAAAAUAAACCUCCCAACUAUAUUUCGUGCUCAAUUGCAUGAUAAGAAUUGAAGUUUAUUACAUGGGAUUUGAUUUCGUUUAAAAGCGACAACAAAGGAAAAUUAUUAUGGGGGUGCAAUAAUCCAUUGACAUGUGGAUUGAUACUAAGGUAACACAAGUGGUGCAUGAUUCGUUCCCAAUUGGUGUCUCAGCUGAUUCAUGUCCAGCUGGUGCUCCUUGACUGAGGGAGUGAUCAACAAAAUUUAUAACCUAUUACACCAUGCAUUAGGAUAGCUUUAGCUAAUAUAGCAUAGUGACUCUAGGAUUGUUCACUGGGAAGGGUUUUCAACUCUCAAUUGAUACCAAUUCAAAGUUAAAUUGGUGCUUUUUCAUUUCAAGGUUAGCUUAAGAAAUAAAACACAAACUUUGUUUAAAUGAGGUUUUGUUUAAAGCUAACUAAAAAGAAAGUAAUGGAAAUUACUUAUGAAGAAAAACAUUCCUUGGAGGUUUAGGUUCAUUGGGGAGGUUCCUUAUGCAAAAACAGAGCUCUAGUCAUUUGGUUCAUUUCCUCGCAUUAGAGAAUUAACAUAUAGUCAAUUCUCUAACCGGUGUUGUACAGAUGUAACCUUUAAAUGGAUUUCGGCUCUAAUUCCCUCUCACUGAUGCAACUUGCAAUGGCUCGUGCCUCUCACCUAGCAUUUGCCAUUCAAGGUAAUCUUUAACUUUGGACUUCCCUUCUCAAGCUCGCAAGAGAUAACUAAUGGAUGUCUUCUUGGAGUCCAAAAGCUUACCAAGUGUUGGCAAUUCUAGAAAAUCCUACCUCCAAGUCACUUCCCAAAAGCUCGCAAGAGAUAAACAAGUGCAUCUCCAUGGACGGAGAUCACGUGCCUUACCAAGUGUUGGCUCAAGUGAAUUGAAGGUGUUUUAAGUUAACUAAAAACAUAGAAAUCAUUAAAGGAUCACACUUUCUUUUCAUUAAUGGCUGAAACCACAAAGCUAUAAUUUCUUGCACUUGGAACCUUUCCCGGCAACCCUAGCUCCAAGGAACUAAAAGUCUAGCCACUCAUUCUCUGAGGAAAAUUCCUCAGAGCUUGUUUGGCUAGUAAGAAAAAGAAUGAGAAAACAAAAAUAUAAAGGAAAAACAGAGCAAGUGCUCUAUAAAAUAUAUUUCUUGCAAAAUUGUACAAAAGGAUGCGUCUGAGAACAAGCUCCCAAAGAUAUAUGAUUGUAAAGAAAAUUACAACUAUAUAUAAGAGGUUAUUCACUCCUUUUUCUUGCUUAAAGACUAAGGAAUCCUAUGAUAGGUGGAUUACAAGGAGAGUUUGGGGAUUUAGACAUCAAAUAUCUAAAGCAAAAUAUCCCAAAAUAUCUCAAAAAUGUCGGUCGGAAAUAUCAGGAAGCUUGAGGAGAACAUCGUGGCACUGUGCAAAAUGGCUGCGAAACUCUCUGGGUAAGCGCUGUAAAAGGAUCUGGACAUGUCUGUCCGGGGAAGUUGAAACGUCCUCCUCUCCCAUCCAGCUGUGAGGUAUCUGGAUGUAACAUGUCGGCGCACGGAAUUCCGGAUGUGAAAUGUCGGCAGACAGAACUCUUCCCCAGGUGGACUGAGCUAUGCUGCGCAAGGGGGACCGUCUGCGUGUGCAAGGUGUAGGGACCCCUCUCCCGGAUGACACGGAGUGCGCAAGGCUAUCCGGAUCAACUCCAUCCGGAUUUCCCAAGAGGACACGCGGCGCGCUCCCUUAUCCGGAUUCCCUCAGGUUGGAGCACACAGCACUCGUGAACAUCACACCCGGACGAUAACAUAUCCUAUUCGGAUAUGUUGUCCGGGUCACUGACUAAAGUGAGCAAGCCUUCCUACGUCAUUCGGACAACCUGCCACAGACCAUGUUCCGCCACCAUCCUGUCCGGACGCCCUGUCCGGACAUCUUUGCCAUGGAUUCCAAAGAACUCUCCUCAAUCUCUGAUUGCUUUCGUGAUAAAAAAGCUAUCAAAACACCAAAAUUUAACACAAUUUGAUUAGAAUUGAUUGCAAGGGUCCUUAAUAUGUUAAUUGGGUUAAAAGGUGAUAACUACUACUCAAAAGUAUUUAAAAGAGUUAAUUACAGACUAUCAAAUAACACUUUUUGAGUAGUAAUCAGUGCACCACCAUAAGGUUGCAUAAGAGCCACAUAACCCCAAAUGGGUACUCCAACCACCAUCAUAGUACAAUAAAGUUGACUUCUAUUAUCAAUAUGGCGAUAUGAUUUCCCACAUGAAAAUGGAGUAACUUACAACCACCCUCUAAGGGGCACCUUUUUCCACUUUCAAGGAUGAAAAUAUCGGUGAUUAUUGAUACAUCAGUACUUCCAUUUUACGGAUAUAUCGAUGAAUAUUUUGACACAAAAUAUCAAUGAAAUUAAAAUUGAUAAAAAAUUAUAAAAAUGUAAUAAAAAACUCUUAAAAAUAAAAUUAGAAGUAUAAUAUAUAUUUUAAAGUUGUUUUGUUCAAGAAAUUGAUAUAUGUAUAAUAUAACCUAUCAUAUUUGAUAAUAAUAUUGUAUGUGCUAAGAAAAAAAUAUGAAUUUCAUAAGUAUACAUUUAUUAUUAAAUUAUAUCAAAUAUUAUUCGAUAAUAAUAUUGUGAUAUUUGAUUAUAAUAUGUCUAAUUUAAAAAUAUAUUUAAUAUUUAAAUUAUAAUCCAUUUAAUUCAAUUGUAUUAAAUGAUAUAAAAUAAACGAUGAUAUAUGUAUAAUUUUAAUACUUUAUUAAUAUAUUAAUGAUAUUAAAAACAUUAUUAAGAAAAUUAUCAUGAUAAUUUUUAUAUUUUUGGUAUUCAAAUAGAUGAAAAAUUUUCAUUUAAUCAUAAAAUAAUUAUAAUUAAUUUGUUCUUUAAAAUAUUUUUUUGAAUUUAUGUUUAUAUGAUGAAUUUGAGUUUAUGUAUAUUUGGUGCAACUUAUAUAACAAGGGACAAACUUCCCCCAAUGGUUGGCUCAACGCAUAGUAAACCCACACAGGUCGUAUUGACCCAUGUUGACCACCCCAAAAUAUUGCAAAAAAUCAAUAAAAUAUUGAAAAAUCGGCAAAAUUCACGAUAAAUUGUCAAAAUAUCGAGGUCCAUCGAUACUCUAUAUUUUAAUCACUGCCCACCAUCAAAGGUUGUAAUGACCAUAGGCGGUGAAUGGACUCAAACCCUUAGGCGGUGAAUGGACUCAAACCCUAACAAGCGACCCCAUCAUUAAAAGGAAGAUUGCUUUCCAAAGCAAGGCAGGUGAAACAAAUUCAUCCUUUUAUGUUAACCCUCUUUCCCAUCCAUGCCUAACUUGAUCGUCACAAAGGGGUUGGCCUAAUCAAUCCAUCACCUAUCUAACACUCAUUAUGGAAAUUAAUGUGUAAAGGAAUUCCAAAGAUAACCUCAAGUGGAAGAGGGAUGCAACAAUUCUAAAUUGCAUCCUCAUAUGCAAAAAAUAGGACUAAAUCAAUGUUUCUACAAGGAAGAGUCAAGCUUGACUUCAAUUUAUUGUUUUGUCUUGGUCUUUUUAAUAUUCCUAAUAAAAAGAAAUAACAUGAAAACGUCAACAAAUUUUCAAUUACUUCAAUUAAAAAAAUCAAUUAGUACAUAAAAAUAAUUUUUUUCUUCAAAAUUAAAGGCAAGAGAUGAUUUUAUAUUUUUGCCCUAAUUUUAAUUUAUUUUAAAUCAAUUUGAGUGUUGAAAAUUUAGGUAACAAAAAUUUGAUUAAAGAACUAUAUAUAUAUAUAACAUAAUUCUUCUUAAAAAAAUAAUAUUUUUUUUAUAAAAAAAUUGUUUAAAAAAUUGAGAUAUUAUUUUCUCAAAUUUAAAAAAUUUAAAAAAUAAUUUUUAAAGAUAUAAGAUAAGUUCAUACUUCUUUAAAAGAGUUGUUAUAUUUAAUAUAGAAAUUAUUAUUAUUUUCUAGUUUUUUUUUUUUUAAAAAAAAUGUCCAAACAAACAAUUAAUUAAUUUCAAAUAAUUUUGAUAAUGCCCAAGUACACUAAUGGAAUUAAUAAAAUGCUUUAUACAUAAUUAAUGGGAAUGCGCCAUCAAAGUCAUGGGAGUUUUUCCGUCCCACCAAGAUACCACCGAGUAAUACACACGUACAAAGUGAGGUUAUUACGUAAUAAUAAAUAAAAAUAUAGGUCAAUUAUUGGAAGACAAGUACUGCGUAAAUGUUGAGCUUUAGUCAACCAAGUCGUUUACGAGAUUUCCCCACCAUGACAGCAGCUGAAGACAUGGAAAAACAGGUGUAUGACUCAGUGUCCCAAGGACUGUGUCAAAGAUGGAAUACCCUAGGGUUGAGGGAGUAGGGAACAAAGUGGGUCAGCUCGAUUGACUAUACACAUUGCAUGCAUUACUAAAGUGGUAAGGUUUCUGGAUCUCUAUGUCGGCGUUGAUAAUUGAAUGGGAAAGUAUUAAUGGUUCUAGACAACAGUGGCUGCACCCAACCCCAAAUCUCAAAAACCUCAGCUGAAGCAAUUCAUUGAAUAGCUCAAAGCCGAACCAUCCAUUCUUAGCAUGAGCUGCUUCCGACUCAUUCGCAUUCAAGAUAGACACACCUUUGAUGUAAUUAGGAGAUAAGAAAUGGUUACCUCAUGAGUAGUCCGAGAAAUUUUGGAGAAAAGAUAAAAAAAAAAAAAAAUAGAGUCAGGAACGCAGAAGAAUGUAGUCAUUCUCUUUUGCCCUAGUUCUCCAGCUCUUGAAGUUUUAAGAGGUCAUCUCGAAUGGAUUUUUAAUUGCCUCAACACAGGGUGAAGUAUCCGCCAAGCAAUCAAUGAUUUUUUUCUAAAAGAUGAAGCUCAAUAUUUGGAAAAAUCAAACCAUGCAUGGAUUUGGAUAAAUUAUAAUGGGAUUUCCUAUUUUAAUGCUUUAGAUUUCUUCUUAAAAAUCUGAUUUUCUUUUAAUUAGGCAUUGAUUCAUUCCUAUCUUACUCCUAAAAUUAGACACACAUGUGUUAGGUGAUCUGAUAUCCGUUAAAACUUUGGGGUGCAUGCAUCUAAUUAAGAUUCUUGGAAUAACUGAAGUGAUUAAAAAUAAAAUUUUUGCCUCAUAGGGUGGUUUAAAAAUCAUAUAUGAGGUUUGAAUGUUCUCAAGCCCAAAUUCUUUUUCAUAGAAGAUGUCUUGAAACCUCACAAUCUUCCACCAUUAUAGCUCCUUCUUUGAUCCAUGAUACUUGUGUAGAAUGACUACUUACUUCUUAAGGGAGAGAGAUGGAGGCUAGGUUUCCAAAAGAUCAAUUGUUUGAAAGAUUAAAGUCUAACCCUAAAACCCAUGAGGUUUAUAUAGAUUCUCCUAUGGGCUUAAGUGACUUUGGCCCAACAUGGAAUUGGAUCACUUAAUUUAGCCCAAUGUGGGUUUGGGUCACUUAAUUUAGCCCAACGUAGGUCAAUUGAUUUUGCCCAUGAUGUCUUAAUUAAUUAAUUAACUCAAAUGAGCUCCAAUUAAUUAAUUAGCCUACACAAAAAAAAAAAUCAUCAUAAAAUCUUGUGCAAUGUUAUGCUAUUACCAAAAUGGAUUUAUGCACAUAAAUGAUUAAUUCUCCAUAAAACCUUAAAAUAAAUAAUCAUAAGUUUUUACACAACCUUACGCUUUUAACAAACCACACUUAUGCAAAAAUGAUUAAAUCUCUAAUUUCCCUCAAACCUUUGUGCCAACAAAGACUUUGAACUUGAGUGAGGACUACUAGGACCCAUAGGAAAUACUCACUUUCUUAUAAUCUAAUUUUGACAUUGAUUCAACACUCCACUAAAGAGAGUCAACUCCAUUUUAAUAUCUAAUUUCAUUACAUUAAGAUAAGAAUUAAUUAAAUCCGGUUGAAUAAUUUUCUCCAAUUUGUGACUUCCUAACAUACAAACCCCUUAUAAAUUGAUGCUCUUGAUCUAACAAGAUAACUGCUAUCAACCUCUUAAGAUUACCACAAUACUUGAGUUUUAGAUCUUCCUAUUAUGUAAUCAAAUGAUAUUCUCUAGCUCACUACGAAAAAAAUGCCUUUUAUGUUUAUUUUUGAGAAAUACUUAGAAUCACCAUUAAAAAAAAAUAAAGGAGAAAACAAAGUAAUAAAAUUAAAACCCUAAGUAACUCCAACAAUGGAAAACAAGGCAAUGGCUACAAAACCUAGAUAUCUCCAUUCCUAUCCUUGGACCAUUAGGGUACAUGUAAACUAUCCUAGGAGCUCUAUAGAUCUAACAAGUAGAAACGCAAUAUACAAUAAAACUUAGAUCUUGAGAAAAGUGUGUUUUCCCUAUGAUUUGGAUGUUUCCAAUUCAAAUCUUGUCAAUGAAGAGUCAAUAUGGAUCUUGCAAACUAGUAAAUCUUGCACCCAAUAGCUCCUUUUUGGAUCCUGACACAAGAGAAGGUUGUUAGCAUCUUAGAUAUAAGCAAUAACAUCAAUACCAAUUUUUUUUAAAAAUUGAUCUUUAGGGUUAAAAUACUAACCUUUAGGUUUGAAUGUUCCCAAAUUUUAAAUUCCAAGUAUUGAAGAUAACUUUGAAGUUGUUGGAAGUAUUAUAAACCCACGAUCUUUCGUCCGAUGACUCAACCUUGUUUUUGGCACACUUCCUAUGGGGAGGAAAAAAUGGUGGAGGUUAUGACUCUCUUUCUCUUUGGAUGGUGGAAAACAAAAAGAGAUGGAAACCCUUGCCCCUAGGGGGUAUUUAUAAGGUUCAUAUAUAAUUAGGUUUAAGUGACUUAAACCCACAUGGACUUGGGUUACUUAAUUUAACCCAAAUUGAGUCAUAAUUGAUUAAUUAACCUAAUAAGAUCUACUAAUUAAUCAAUUAACAUAAUUUAGAUACUUGGUUCACUUACCCUUGUGCAAUCUUAUGUAAUUACCAUAACACCUUUGUGCACAAAAGUAAACCUAGAACUAAUUUGACCAUUCUAACCCAUGCUAAUAAGAUAUAUGAACCCAAAGCAAUGACCACUAGGACUUAUAAGAGUACUGGCUCCCUUAUAAUCCAAUUAUGAAGUUGAUUUAACAUCUCACUAUAGAGAAUCAGCCAAGCUCUUGUAACCUAUAUAAAUAACAAUGAGACACUAUGUGCUUAGGUCCAUGACUUGCUAUCCAUUGCGUUCAGUCUCCUUAUGAACUAGUGACCAUAGUCUAACAAGGUGAAAACUAGCUAUUAGCCUUUCAAGACUACCUCUACUAUUCUUGAGUUACAGAUCCCCCUAUUAUGUGUUCAACUGACAUGUCUUAACUCUUAAAGAGUCAAUGUCAAAUUCCACUUAAGGAACUACUAUAACCAUAAUUUUCAUGAACACAACUCCUUAGAAUCACCUAGGGGGACACUUUGUCUUAAUCACAUGAGAUAUCAUGGUGCCUCUAUUGAGAACACCUAUUACUAUAGACUUCUAUCAACAGUGACCUAACUAAUCCAUAGGGAAUAUAUGAUCAGUUUACAAUUUCACUCAUAGCUCAAAACUACUAAUAACUUUAACACAAGUUCAAUAUUCUCUUAAGGUUGAGAGACAACAUAAUGAAGCAUCUUGGUGAGGUCAUGACUACUUGAUAGCCUUAAGUCAUGACUUGUCUAAUAUGUAACAUUACACACUAGUGCACUCAUUAUAGGAAACUCAUCCCGAUUGCCAAGACCACUCAUUUCUCUAAUUAGGAGGUGAUGCACUACAACCUCUAAUGGGUUGCUUAGACCCACGAAUCGACUGUGAAUAAGUCAUCUAUUUGUAAGGAACCCAUGACUUGAAUCUUCUGUGCAACUUGUAAUGCAGCCAAGUCAUAUACAAUGAAAAAGAUACAGACAAGAAAACUUAUAUAGUGUAAUGUAUAGAAUAAGGAUAGAUAAAAGUGAAACUAGAAUAUCAUUAAAUAAAUAAUGAAUUCUAAAUUUGUUACAUCAUGUCAUACUUUUAAGGGCUCUAUCAUAAUAAAAGUGAAAUCCUCUUUAAAGAGGUAGAGGUUAGGGCUUUUCUCUCUAGAAAUGUAAAUGACAAGAAUGUUGAAGCCUUAACCCCUUAGGAGGUUUAUAUAGGUUUUUUGCUAGCUUAGGUAACUUAAUCCAACCCACUUGAAUCUUAAUUAAUUAAUUAUCCCUAUUGGGAUCCAAUGAAUUAAUUAGUCUGGUUCACAAAGACCAUGCAUAAGCUCUUAUGUAGCCCUAUGUAUUUACCAAAAUACUUUUAUGCACUCAUGAAUUUAGAACCCAAAAAUCCCUCAAUAACUAUGCUAUUAUGGAUAUGAGCUCAAGUACAAACCAUUAGGACCAAUUGGAAAAUAUAGGCUCCUUCAUACUACAAUUCUAAAGAGCAUGCAACAUCUCACUACUGUAGAGAGUUAAUUAUACUCCAAUAUCUUAUGAUAUUAUAAUGAGAUACUAACCUCGAGUUUAUGACCCAUUAUUCACUGUAUACAGACUUCUUAUGAAUUGAUGUUUAUAAUCUAGCGAAGUGAUGAUAUUAACCUUUUAAUAUUACAUCUAUAAUCGUUACAAACAUUGGUCUCUCUUACAGAUUUAUUUCAGGCUCUGUUGUUCCCUGCUCACCUAGGGUAGGUGGCAGUUGAGCCAAUGGUUCUUUUAGCAUAUCUUCCUCUUCACCUGGUGUUGAAGGCAUUUGGGGCACUUGAGGCAUAUCCUCUUCUUCAGCCCUUUCUUCUACAGCUAGGAGUAAUCCACCCCUUCUCAAUUCAAUUUCAAUUUUCUUCAUCUCAAUUUUCAUUUUAAUCAAAUUCUUUUCAUAGUCUUUCGGUCCAUGUGUUGCUCUUUUAUUGUUACUUCCUCUUCAUCCUCAGCAAAUGGGUGCCUCAUGGCCAUCUGAUAGGUUGUGAGAAAUCUGGGUAUCUUAAGUUUUGCUUUCUUAGCACUCUCUAGCCUCUUCAACUGAUUCAACUCGUAUGAAUGGAUGAAGUUUUUCUCAAUCAGUGUUAGCAGGUCGGCAUAUUCAUCUGUAUAAGUUGCAUACAGGCCCCCAACUUAAAAUGCUUCCUCUCUUGUUCAUGGCCAGUGGGGUUAAUAUUGUGGCAGAUGACAUGGUCAACUAGCUUCUUCUGAUAGGGGGCCCACUUUCAUUUGGUGUAACUUUUCUGGGUCUUCCAGCAGGAAUAUUCAUUUAAGAUCUCUUCCACUGAGUGCUUCUCAGGGGCUUUAAGACCUAAGUCAACAAAGCACUCAGUGGCUUUAAUACCUAAGUCAACAAGGUGUUGGCCUUGCAGCUCACUCAGAGCUGCAAUCUCUGCUCUGGGCAUCUUGUACCUAAUGCCAUCAACUCGGAAGAUAACGAGUCUGUCAGCAUGGUCCAAAUUCUCUACCUUUAAGCUCUGAUAGAUUAACCUCACUAGCCAUGGGUAGUGUUACUUGGGCAGUCCACUUGUCAUCAUGCCCAUAUUGUAUUUAAACGGGAUCUCUGCAGACGACAUCGCCUCUUCCAUUUCUGCUAGUUGCAGAUCUUGAUAGGUUUUUUGGGAUUAGAUAUCUCUCAUUUGAUAAUCUUUGUAGGGUACUUCUCUGGCUGGAAUAGUUUCUUAAGCCAGAGCUGGUUGUUGGGUAGCCAUCUAAUCUGGAAUCUCCUCAGCAGGGCUGAACAGGAGCUGGAGCUUCAGGUUGGAUUUCUGGUUGUUAGGAUUUUUACCUUCCUGCCAUGAACACUCAAAAACUGAUCAAUGGAGUUGUUAGAGUUCAUAUAUUCAAUGUGUUGCAACUUGUUAAUUUAUUUUUGUUCUUUUUCAAAUAAUUGCUUUCCUUCAAAAUAUAUAUAUAUGUAUAAAGUAGGUUGUGAGGUUUAAUUUAAGUGACAAAGAGAUUGAUCUAAGUGAAAUUUUCUAUAUAUUUUAGAAAAUUUUUAAAAAUUAAAAAUUAAAAUUAUAUUGAAAAUAAAUUUAAAUAAAUUCUAACACCCAGUUUGUGGUUGAAAAUAGACACUAUUUCAAUAAUUAUAAAAUUGAUAAAAACCCAAUGUAAUUGCUUAUACGAGUAUCAAUUUUAUUUUUUAUAUAAGUUAAUUAUACUUCUAUAUUUUGAUGUGUAAAAUAAACUUCUUUUUUGGUACACUUGAUUAAUGGUUACUAUUAUUAAGCAAUUACAAUAAAAGUAGAUAAUUUUUAUAGAGAAAUAGGUAUUGAGCUGUUUGUAAAGUAUGUGUAACAUAAUAUUAAGUAUAGAUGACAAUAGGGUAGGUUUUUUAAAGUAUCACCCCACCAUGCCCCUAAUGAGUUAGGUUUAAAAUUUAAAUAAACGGAUUAAGGGUAGAUUUGAGAUUUUUUUUAAAAACCCGGGAUUGGUUCGAGGUAGAUUCAAGUAUUGACUUAUCCCCACCCCACCUCGAUUAUAUAUAAAAUUAAUUUAAUUUAAUUUUUAUAUUUAUAUAUUUAAUAUAAUAAUAAUAGAAAACAUUUUUUAAUAAAAUAAGUUAUAAAAAAAUUAUAAUAUUUUUAAUUAUUUAUAAAAUAUAUUUAUUUUAAUGUAGUUAAAAAUAUUUUAAAUAAUUUAAAAGAAAAACUAAAAACUUUUAAAACAAAAGUUGAAUGGGUUGAGGCAAGACGAGUAUGAGAAAUUUGCAUACCUGCUCUGCCCAUUUAAUUUUUUAAAUGAGACAAAAAUGAUAAUUAUUUUGAAUAAAUGGGAUAAGAUUAGGAUGAAGGUGAUUCGUCUUGAACCUGCUCUAUUAUUAUCUUUAAUCUUAAUUUGAAAACUUCUAUGGGAUGUAAGCUUCAAUUUGAUGUUGCUUGACCAUCAACAUCGACCAACUUAUUUAAGUUGUUAGCCUACAUCAAUUGAAUAUUGCCAUACAUUAAAAGUAACGAUACUUGGAAAAACGUCAUUAUACUGCUAGAUUUUCAUUUUUAUAAUGCAAUCUCAAUUUAACCUUAAUCAUAAAUAAUAAAAUCCAUAUGGAUUUUUUUCCAUGAGCGUUUAUAUAAAAAUUUAGACCACAUGCGCGGAGUUUUCAAUGCAGCAAUAUAGUUUCACUGGUGAAUGCUUUAUAAGGGUUUACCCAUAAAACCUAAAACCUAAAAAAAAAUAAAAAUUCCUCAAAGUGUUUCGUUGAGGGAAUGAAGCGGCUACCAAAGUAAAAAUGAAGAAAAAGAAGAAGAAGAUCGUCAUGAAGGUGGCUAUCAUUUUUCUUAUGUUGUUGAGUCAAUGAUUUAGCACCGAAAAUACUCCUAGCCAGGUAUGCGCAUAAAAAUUUUCAGUCACAAUGUUUGCUUUUACGGUUUGAGAUGUAGAAAGACAAGUUUUUAAGAUGGCUACCACUUAUUUGACAUCAUCCCAAAAGGAAAUUCUGGAUUUUACCCCUUCCUAGCAAAGAUUUGGUAUGGGUAGAUAUUAAAUCUCAUCCUUGAUACAAAAAUAAAUAGGAAUCCUAUCUUUUCCAUUUCAUGGUUCAUUGUUUCAAUAAAUUGCAAACAAAUUCAAAUCAAAAACAUUAAAAACAUAAAUUUAGAAAGAUUGGGCAUCUUAUUUACGCAUGAUGAAUGGAGAGACAAAGAUCAAUGAUGGGAAUUGGGUAGAGUGGUGAAAAAGAGUUUCAAUAUGUAAAAGCAUAUCUCAAUAGACGAUGAGAUAAUUUUUUUUAGUUUAUUAUUCUUAACCUUUUCAUUUGGUGAAAUGAAUUUGACAUGAGAAAUAAUUAAAGAUGAUAAGACAAUGGUGAAUUGGUGAAAUGAACUUUACAUGUCAUAUGCCAUAUGUGCCAAAUUUAGAAUAGCUUGAGUACGGACUAUUAGUAAAUUUGCUUCCUAUUCUAAGUUCUCCCAUAUGGAGGCUGGUAAUCCACAAGUGUGGGACUUAAUUUUGCCUAUGGAAGACUUAGUUUUGAAUUUAUGAGAUGACAAUCAACAAGUGUGAUACUCUUGUGUCCUUUGCCUUGAAUCACACCAUAGGGCACCCAUGGACACCCUUUGUGGCUAUUGUUUACCUUUUCUUGAGUCUUUUAUUACUUUCGUCCAUGUACAUCCCUAAAAAUUGAUAAAUUUGGUGAAUUCCAAAAUUGAUUAAAUUUUGAUUGAAAUAUUUAGUGUUGCUCUCCAUAUUUAAACUCUUAAGGUCAAAUCUUUAACUUCAAGAUUAUAGGUUAGUUUUUUUAUUACUUGGAACCUAGGUCAUGGCAAGAACCACAUUGAUUGUCAAACUAGUUGACUUUAAGAAAGUCUUGCAAGCUUUGGAGGGGGGAUAAGCUGAUUUAGUGAGGUUGGAGAAGAACAAGUCGUUAAUGGUCAUUGCACAUAUUGUGGGAUUAUGUGUCUUGGAUUGAGAAAAGAAGAUGUGUAGUUCUGUAUUGUCAUUGUGAAGAGGUGAAUUGAAUCAAACAUUAGAAUUUUGUUUUAUUCUUUUUCUCUAAUUUUCUAUUUCUUAGCUAAGAGAUUCUAAGUAAAGAAAAGAAAAAUAUGCAAUUGAUAUGAAGAUUUGCAUGAGAAAAACAAAGUUAUCCUCUCAUUAACAAUACUAUUUUGAAUAUUUGGAUACAUAACAAGAAUUGAAUAAACAUAAAGUUACAAGUAUUGAGAUGACAAUCAAAAUGUGUGAAACUCUCAUGUCCUUUGCCUUGAAUCACACCAUAGGACACUCAUGGACACCCUUUGUGGCUAUUGUUUACCUUUUCUUAGGUUUUUCAUUGCUUUUAUUCAUGUACAUUCCUAAAAAGUGACAAAUUUGGUGAAUUCUAAAAUUGAUUAAAUUUUGAUUGAAAUAUUGAGUGCUAGUCUCAAGAUUUAAACUCUUAAGAUCAAAUCUUUUAACUUCAAGAUUGUAGAUCAAUUGGGCUUUUUAUUAUUUGAAACCUAGGUCAUGACAAAAGCCACGUUGAUUGUCAAGCUAGUUGACUUUAAGAAAGUCUUGCAAGCUUUAGAGGGAGGGUAAGUUGAUUUAGUGCAAUUAGAGAAGAACAAGUCAUAAGUAAUCAUUGAGCAUACUAUGGGAUUAUGUCUCAUGUAUUGAGAAAGGAAGAUGUAUAGUUCUACAUCGCCAUUUGUGAAGAAGUGAAUUAAAUCAAAUAUUAAAAUUUUAUGUUAUUCUUUUCCUCUAAUUUUCUAUUUCAUAGCUAAAAGAAUAUUCUAUGUAAAGAAAAGAAAAGAAAAACAAGCAAUUCAUAUGAAGAUUUGUAUGAUAUCAUGAAGUUAUCCUCUCAGUAAAAACACUAUUUUGAAUAUUUGAAUAUAUAACAAGUAUUGAAUAAACAUAAAUUUACUAUUUUUGGCUAUUAAUAUUUUCAUUAAAUCCAAAUUGUGCAUAUUUUCUAUAGCUAAAACUUAAAACCAUAUUUUAUAAUUCAUAUGAGAAAGGACUAGAGGAGUGCUUCUGAAUCUUUGUCCUAGAUUCUUUAGAGUUAGGUGAUUUUUGGCCAUAGGUUUAUACUAAAGUUCAACCUUAUAACUACUCAUGAUUUACCUUGAUUUCAUCAUUUUAGUUCUUUUUGAUUCACCUUCUUUUAGAGAUUUUGUUGAUGUAAUUGUAGGAUAUUUUCCUUGUGACAUGAUAAUAGGUAAUUUUCCUUCUUUCCUUCCAUAGUUCUUGCUCUUAUAAAUAUAUGCACAAAGCAAACGUCAAUAUAGGAAAAUUGUUUCCAAGAUAAUUUUUUUCCUUAAGCUUUUAUCUUUGAUUAUGACUUCGUUACAGACAACCUCAUCUUCUAUUAUGACUUAAGUUUUUUCUAUUAAGUAAUAUCACUAAUUAUACUUCAACCAGAUUAAAUGAAACUAAUUAUCUCUAAUGAUGGUGAAGUGGGUUUGUUCCUAUUCUUGUAGACAAUGAUAUCUAUGGAUAUGUCAAUUUACAUUGCUUUAUUUCUUUUUCAUGUAACAGUUGUAUCUAACUUGAUGUUAUUCUUACAGUGAUGUCCUCUAGAGGUGGUAGGACUUUUGUGAAUCAAGCUCUAAUUGAUGGGAAUGUUGGUUUCUUGAGAAAUCAAUUUCUAUCAGCCAACUCAUGGAGGAGUGAAAGUCUGAGUCGAGGGUAGAGUGCCCAGGACCAGGAUAUCUGAAGAAUUAAGAUAAGAGAGGGGCACUAAGGAAAGAACUGCCAUGGAAUUGACUUCCAUGGAUACAAUCCAAAAGGGAAGAAUUAGCAAGUCACAGAUAUGGAUGUUGGUAGAGGUAAUAAGACAAUUGAAUAAAUUGUUGUAACUGAACACCUGAGAAUGAAAGUUGACCGAAAACAAGGAUGCAACAACAAAAAGAGAGCAAGAACGAAAGUUGACUAAAAACAAGGAUGCAACAAUAAAAAGAGAGCAGAAUGUGAUAAAUAAAGAAAAUACCAGUUACAAAAGGAAAACUUGAACACUCUCCUUCCAAAGGUAAAAGUUCCUAUAGAAGGCAAAUCACUUGUUUUUAGCAUAUCAAAGCUCUAAUGGAAGACAAUUUGUUUGUCUAUAGAGGAUAUCAAAAUUAUAGUUUCAACUACAUUAUGGAAGAAGGAACAUAUGUAUAGUAUGAGAUAUACAAUUAAAAAUGCAUUCAAUGUUGUAUCAUGAAAGUUUCUGCAGAGAUCAAUAGAGUUUUAACUUCCAAAGCAAGAUUCACGAAGUGGAUUUUAUUACAAAGAGAAGCAAAGAAAAUCUCGUAAGAAAAAUUACAAACUGGCAUUCUCUAAACUUUAAAAUUAUCUCAGUCUAAUUUCUCUAAUUCUCCAUCUAAUAUCUAUCUCUCUAUAUCUCCUAAAUAACUAGAUAGCGAGCUAUUUAUAGGCACUUUAUCAGUUUCUAGCUCAAUUAUAGCUUGUCACGUACACAAUAUAAUAAAAUCUAGUAAGUAAAUCUUCGCAUACUUCCUCAAUAAAUGUUUUCUUUCAUGGCCUUAUUAUGAUUAUUUGCUUUGCAAGGAAUAGCUUCAACCCAUUUCAACACAUAAUCCACUACCAUAAGAAUAUAGUGAAAACUAGAGGAAGGUGGAAAAGAUCCCAUAAAAUCAACACUUCAACAGUAAAAAACUUCCACCACACAAAUGUUGUGUAGUGGCAUUGAUUAUCUCUUACUUCACUUUUUCCUAGGUGUUGGCAUUUUUCACAUCUCUUGUACGUUACUCGCAAGUAUUCUUCAUAAGAGUGUUCUAGUAGAAACCUGACUAUAGUACCUAGGUGUUAGUUUUCUUGGAAGCUAAAUGUUAUCUACACACAUCAUCAUGACACAUUUUCAACAUGCUUUCUCUUUCUUCUUCUGGAAUGCAUCUUCUUAUAAUCUGAUCAUGACAAUACUUAAAUAACAAAUGUUCUUCCCACUUGUUAUUCUUGGACAAAAGGAAUCUUCUAUCUUCAGCGGUCUAAUUAGUAGGAAGUUGACCAAUUACUAGGUAAUUGACUAUGUCAGCAUACUAAGAUAUUUUCCUUUUGAUGGAGAAAGCUUCAUCAGGAAAGUUUUCAUUAGAUUCUUCUCCUUUAAACUUAGUCACAAUUCUAGAUAAGUGGUCAGCUACCAUAUUUUCUACUCCUUUCUUUUCUUUGAUUUCCAAUUAAAAUUCUUGUAAGACUAGUAUCCAACAAAUUAAUCUGUCUUUCGCUUCCUUUUAUAUAUUAAAAGAUACUUCAAAGCAGAGUGGUCUGUAAAUAUCAUAAUUUUGGUUCCAACAAGGUAAGUUCUGAAUUUGUCUAGUGCAUACGCUACUACUAACAACUCAUUUUUCUAUGAUCAUAUAGUUUUUUUGUGCAUUGUUUAGCAUCUUGCUGGCAUAGUGGAUGACAUUGCUUAUUCUCUCGACAACUGUGAGUACAUAGCCACUGGUGUUGCAAAUAAGUUCAAAUGGCAAAUUCCAAUUGGGGAGUUCUUACCACUAGUGCAGAUACAAGUUUCUCCUUGUAACUUUUCAAAUACAAGCUAGCAUCUCUUUGUCUAUAGAAAUUCAGUGUCUUUCAAUAGUAAAUUGCACAAUGGUUGAACGAUUUUUGAGAAAUAUUAGAUAAAUCACCUGUAGAACCUUGCAUGCAUGGCUUAAGAAUUAGUGUACUUUUCUAACUAUAGUAGGACUUAGCAGUUUAGAGAUCAAUUUAACUUUAGCUUCGUCAGCCUUUAUACCUCUCUCUAGUAUUACAUGGCCUAGGACUAUCCCUUGCUUGACCAUGAAGUGACACUUUUCCUAGUUCAGCACAAAACCUUUCUCAAUACAUUUCUUCAGUACUUUUUACAUGUUUUCCAAUCAAGCUAUAAAUAAGGGUCCAUAAACUAUGAUAUCAUCCAUAAAUACUUCCAUCUCCUUUUAUAAGAAUAUUGAAAAAAUGGUCACCAUGCAUCCUUGAAAUGUCUCAAGAGUAUUGCAUAAUCCAAAUGACAUUCAUCUAUAAAGCAUACCUGUCAAAUGGAUUAGUAAAUGUUGUCAUCUCUUAGUCUUCUGAUGCAAUUGGUAUUGAAAAUACCCUGAAUACUCAUCCAAGAAAUAAUAAUAGGAUCGGAGUAGCCUACAACUUUCUCCAAGGUUUGGUCCAAAACAGCAACAGAAAAUGAUCCUUCCUUGUUACUGCAUUUAGCUUGCCGUAAUCAAUACACACCCACCAACUUGUAGUAAGUCUAGUAGGUACCUCCUCUCCUCUACCAUUCUUGAUACCCUUAUGCCGCUCUUUCUAGGAACCACUUCCCAAGUAUUGUCAAAGAUGGAGUAAAUGAUUCCAACAUCCAACAGUUUAAUUACUUUUGCUCUUAUUAGAUCUUGCAUUGGGGGGUUAAGCCAUUACUAUAGUUGGAGAAUGGGUUUUUUAUCCUCCUCCAAGAAUAGUGAUGGGUGCAGAGAUUGGGGUUGAUUCUUUUUUAAGUCCUCAAGAAAUCCUCUUAUCACAUUUUUGAAUUGUUUUAGUACUUGAAUGAGCUUUUGCUUUUUAGUUAGAUCAAGAGAUGUGACUAUAAUAACUUAAUAAUCCUCUCCUUCUCCAAGGUAGAUAAACUUGAGUCCUUCAAGUAUUGGUCUUUUCUUUUUCUUUCUUUUUCAUUUUCAACUUUUUCUACUGUACGUGAAUAUUUCUUCUUCCUAUUUCCACAGUUUUAUUACUUUAUCUUUUGUUUGGUAUGCAAUGGAUAUAUCAUCCAACCCUUUGUAGUUUGUGAUCAACUGAUAUUCUAUCAAGUUGUCCACAGGUUCUUGAAUUAACGUUUCCAUCAAGCAUAUUUUUGUUGGCUCUUCUACUUCUAUCUACAACACAGGGCUUUUUGUUAGCAGGAACACAUUGGUUUCCAAGGUCAUGACUCCAAAGGUUAGCUUCAUUAUCCCAUAUCUGUAAUUAAUCAAGGCAUUAUCAAUAGCCAAAAACAGUUUACCCAGAAUUACUGGUAUUGAAUUUGAAUUCCUCUUUGGCUACUCAAUAUCAAGUACUAUAAAAUUAGCAUGGUGUUAUAACCUAUCCACCUAAAUUAGGGUGUCUUCUACCACUCCCUUCAGUAUUUUUACUAUUGUGUCAACCAAAUAUAAUGUGGUUACCAAGCUUUUGAUAUGGUGAAAAUGGAAUCAAAUUGACAUUUGCUCCCUAGUCAAGCAAUGAUCUUUUAAUUAUUACUUCUACUAUGGAUAUUGUUAUAGUAAGAUAGCCAGAAUCCUUAAAUUUGAUUGGGGUUUUGCAUUGAAUAAUUGCACUAACCUACCCUGUUAAGAACACUUUCUUGUCAAUAACCAUUUCUCUUUUCACUAUGCAUAGGGCUUUUUUAGGAAUUUUACAUAGAUUAGUACUUGACAUACCAUAUCUAGAAGAGGUAUGCUGAGUUUAACUUGGUAGAGUACAUCAAACAUGCACUUUAGUAUAUUGGUCAUCUUCAUUUCUUAGAGCUUGAGGAAAUAGGUUCCUCCUUAGACCUUGGGUGAUCCAAAAGACAUGUGAUUAGGAAGACUAUGACGAUAAUAAUUCAUUUAAUGGAAUUUGACAUAUACUCUUUAGAGCUAUAAUAUGUCAAUUGAUCACAUAACAGAUACAUUAAUAACUAAAGGAUUGAAGAAAUAAUUUUGAUAAGUUGAUAGCAUUACUUUAUUGGAUUAUAAACACUAGGUCAUGGGGGGUUCACAUGCAGUGGAUAGUAAGUCAUGAACUUAAGCUUCGCCCCAUUGUAAUUUCAUAAGAUAUUGGAGUACAGUUGAUUCUCUAUAGUAAAGUGUUGAAUUAACUUCAAAAUUGAAUCAUAAGGGAGUUGGUAUUUUUCUAUGAGUUUGAGUGGUCCCCAAUCAAGCUCUUAAUUUAUGGUGGCAUGUUUUAUUUAAGGGAUUUGGUUUUUGGUUCGCAAGUGUGCAUAAUGGCAUUUUGGUAAAAGCGCAAGAUUGCAUUAGAUCUCAUGGAUUAUAUUUUUAAAGUAGGCUAAUUAAUAUUAAAGUCCAAUAGAGCUAAUCAAUUAAUUGAGACCUAGGUGGGUUAGAUUAAGUGACCUAAGCCCAAUUUGGGUUCAAGUCACUUAAGCUAAUAAGGGGCCUAUAUAAACCUCCAACCCACAAAAAGCCCUAUAUAAACCUUUAUAAGGGUUUAAGGUUUAGAUUUUUGCCACUUUUUCUCCAUAAGAGUUUUCCGAAGAGAAGUCUUGGCCACCCUCAAGUUCUCUUUCAUGCUUAGAUUCGCGUAAGGAGAGGUUGGGUGGAAGAACACCAUGUAGACAAGUUCUACUCAAUAUCUUCAUUGGCUUGGUUUUUAUGUCAUUUUUUAUAAUUUUUCUCAACAUUUUCAUAAAUUUUGAUUAAUUUUUCGUAUGAUCGAUAUUUUAUGUUAGGAUAUCCAUCGAUAUUUUUCAAUAUAUUUCAAUAUAUACAUCAAAUUGAGUUAUCAAUAUAUUCAUAAAAACCGAUAUUUGUACCUUAUAAGUGCCUUAAAGUUGAAACCAUGGGGCAAUUUGUGUCCCAAAAGGACACUUCUCGAGCGAUAUGACGGGUCCUCUAAUACUUGUUCUAUUCUAAAUCCACCACUAAGGCUAUCAUUUACACUACAGAUUUUUUUUUUUUUUUUCUCUUUUAAUUAAUUUCUUUUAAGCCCUUGAUUUUCCUGCCUUGGCCAUGCACCUUCAAUCCAAAGAACUGACUGAGACACACUGAAAAGAUGCAUGUUAAACCUCAUUACUAGGACAUUACAAUGAAUUUGACCAAAAACAUAGAAUAAUCACUUAACCAGCUAGGUUCUAAAUAACAUCCACAAACCUGUUACGGAAUGCAAAUUGGAGUGAAUUUUAACAAAGAAGCAUAAGCGAAAGAACACCAUAUGGGUCUUGCAGACUAGAAUAAUUGAACUUUAAUUUUACUUCCAAGUGAGAUACAACUCGAUCCUUGUUUAGUUGUCUUGAAAUUAAGCUGAUGAAUAGGAAAAUAGCAUAAUUCAACACAUCAUAUGUAGGAUGUGUCUUACCCAGAAAAAAGGAAAAAGGAAAAAAUCUUUGAGUUUGUUAAUGUAGGACAUGAAUUCCCAAGUUGCAUAUUGGUCUCCAUGGCUCAAUUUGAUUGUCCAAAUUUCAAAUGACUAUGGCAUCCAACUCAGCAAGAUUUGUUUUUGUGAUACUUGUCGUUUUCUUCAUGUAACGUUUCUCUUGGUUUCUAACAAAGCCAUCAUCAAUUAGUGGCUAAACCAGUAAGGAAUGGACCCACUUGGCUUUGGACAGCCUACAUGGCGGUGGAACCUAUCUUUUUCAGGCUUAUGUCCAAUUUGAGCCCAAAUACUAACAACUUCAAAGGAAGCUAAUGAUCGGGUACCAAAAAAAACAUUAUGUUCAUAUACUAAGAGUGUGUUUGACAGUAAUUAUAAAAAUGGUUUAUAACAUCUUUAAUACUUGAAAGAUAAAAAAUUUCAAGUGUUAAAAAAACUAAAAACACUUUUUAGACUCACUACCAAACGAAUUUUAAGCAUUUAAAUCAAUUUUAUUGUAGAACUCGGCCGAUCAUAAAGAUAAUUAUACACUCAGACAGACAGGAAAAUACAUCGGACAGAAUACAGAGGACAUUAUUCUAAAAUACAUAACCAAGACAGGAAAUUACAUCAGCCAAAACAUAGAGGACAUUGUUCUAAGAUAUACCUAAUCCAGUGAAGGAUAUUAUUAAUCCAUGAUUUUCCUAAUCUACAAGGGAAUUGAAUCACUCCAAGAGGGGCCAUCUAGAGCUGAAGACCUUCUUCCAGGAUGGUCUAUUACUGAUAUCAUCCCACCAUGCCUUCACGUGUUUCCUCUCCUCAAUCAAAUACAUCUUCCCCAUAUCAGCCAAGUACUUUGUGAAUGGAAGGUGGCUAAGAUCAGCAAGGCUAAAGAAAUCCCCAGCCAGGUACUUGCUCUUGGACAGCCUCUCUUCAUAGAUGUCCAACACCUUUGCAAGCUUCUUUUCACUCUCUUCGAUCACUUUCGCAUCUGGGGGAAUACCCCGUUUGCGGCCAAACAGAAUUUCAAUGACUAAAUUGUCAAUUGCUGGGUGGUAACUUUGUGCUUCAACCUCCAGCCAUUGUUCCACCACUCCCCUCUCCUCUAUUGUCUUCCCCAGUAAAUCAGUUCCUUGAGACUUGUACUUCUCAGCAUAGUACCUCAUGAUUGCACGAGAUUCUGAAAUUCAAAUCAUACUCAUUCAUCAAGAACCCAAAGGGCCUGUUUGGUAAAACAAAUAAAUUGUUUUCAGCAAUUCAUGGGGUUCUAAGCUUUACUGAAAAGAUCAACUUUGAGACUAACACAUCAUAAAUCACUUAAAGAGUGAAAAAGAGCAUUCUAAUCUUAAGUGGAAAUGUUGUCUUUAUAAGAAAGGCAUUUCUGUAUAUGGAAUACUACUAUAGAAAUUCUGUGAUAGAAAUUUAUUAGAAGUGAGAUCACUGAAAAUUACCAAAUAAGGUAUAGUCUCCAUCUUGAAUGACAGGAACAACUCCAAAAGGCUGCAUUUGAUGAGAGAAAGAAGCAUAAAUUAUCAACAAUAUGUACAACAAAUCAAGAAAUUGUGAUACUUCAAUCAUUAAGCCUUUGUUUGGCUCUCAACAACUGCUGCAAAAAAAAAAAAUGAAAGGAAAUUUAAUGAAGUUCGAGUUUGAACUCCAUCAAUUCCUUCUCUGUUGAUCUUAUUUCUACUUAAAAGCUUUUCGAAAUCAUCAGCUUUUUCACUAACACCACAAAUCGAAAUCGUCUCGUUUCUUAUGUUGUUCCUGAGCUCAAAACAAAGCUUUAAACGACAAGAAGAAAUUAGAACCUGCAACUUCAGGAAUUCUGGAUCCUUAUUCUGUCCUUUGAUGAUAUCAAUGGGGAGAGUCUCGAAUUCGACCUCCUUCUCAAUGAGGCAAACAAGCACGCGCUUUGCAGAAGCAAAAUCUGGGCCAUACACCUUCACCACCAUUGUUGUUAUCUUGAUUUAUCUCUCAAAGAUCUAGUAAAAACAACGACCGGCGUUUGGGUAGAGGGGUUGAUCUUGAGGCCUUACAUGUAGUGGUUUUUCAAAGUCCAAGAGAUUCGAGAUCAUGCACCUUCUGCGUAAAAAAUGGGCACAUACAGUCAGAUAUUUGAGCAGCUUAUCAUUAAAAAGGGAAGAUGAAGAUUAAAAAAAUAGCAGAUAUUCUCCAAUGCGACUUCAUGGAUAAGAAGAGAAGGAAGGAAAUCGUAGUUUGACUACUUCUUUAAACUUUUGAAAUAGAUUCUAAUACUCACAUUUUUAAUUAGAGAUUAGAAAAGUUUUUCUCAUAAAAUUAUCAGUACAAUGAUGAAAAUGAAUGAUAAAGAUAUCCACUUUGGAAAGAUUUUUGAAAAAUUGGUCAAAAAUCAAAGAGAUUAUAAAAGUUUUUCUCAUAAAAUUAUCAAUUCAAUGAUGAAAAUGAAUGAUAAAGAUAUCCACUUUGGAAAUUUUUUUGAAAAGUUGGUAAAAAAUCAAAGAGAUUAGAAAAGUUUUUCUCAUAAAAUUAUCAAUUCAAUGAUGAAAAUGAAUGAUAAAGAUAUCCACUUUGGAAAAAUUUUUGAAAAGUUGAUCAAAAAUCAAUAAUUAAAAUUUUUUAUUUCGUUAGAUUUGAAGAGUGGAAAUUUUUUUGGAAUUAAAUAUAGAUUUGGAAAAAAAAAUUAGAAAUCAGAUGAUUGAGAUUUGAUUUUAAACAUUAAGUAUAUUGUAAAAAUUAAUAAAAUUAUUAUUAGGUAAUUAUUGUAAAACCUUAGUGAGAAAAAUUAGUUGAAAUUUAUAUAAUGUGGAAUUGCUAUAAUGAAUUGUUAGAAAUUGAAUUUAAAAUUAUAACAAAUAAAUUUAGUUUUAAUUGGAAUUAAUAAUUUUGAUUUUGAGGAUUAAUUAAAUUGGUAAAAAUACAAGUAUAUGAUUUAAUGUUAUUAGAAAUUAAAUUUUAUUGAGACAUAAGAUAUUUAAUUUAGAAAAAAAAAUAUAAUAUAAUAAAAUUUUAAUUUUUGGGAAUUGAAAUAUGUUUAGGGGCAUGUAUAAAAAAAAUAAUAUGGAGGAGUUGUGAAAUAAUAAUAAUACUAGGCUUAUAAAAAAUUUUAGAAAAGAAUAUGCCACUGUCUGUAAAAAAAAAAAUAUUAAAAGUGGCGGAAAGCCUUGGUCAAAAAAUUUAGGGAAUAAAGGUUAAAAGAGAGAGAGAGAGAGAGAGAGAGUGGAAAGUGGCAUGAAAGCCACUGCCUAUAAAAAAAAGUAAGCCACCUCCUAAUAUUAAACUGGUGGAAAUUCAAUGAAAAUUAUGUUAAGAGUCAAAUUUAGUAAUUAUUUAUUGGUGGCACACUUCAUGUGAAUUAAAAAAAUAUUUGUGUGAAGAUUUAGAAUUAUUUUGAUUGUAUUUAAAAGAUGAAAUUAAAAUUUAUUAGUGAUAUAUUAGUGUUAAGAAUAAUGGAGAUUAUUGAUUGAAAAUUUUGAGUAUUGUUAUAUGUCUAAACUACUUGUUUUAUAGUAUUAUUAUUUGAGUUGGGUUCAUUCUACAUCCAUGGUUGUUUGGAAAAGAAAAGUAAAGAAAUCAUGAUAUGAAAUAAAAAUGAAAAUUAAAAGACCCUAAAUAAGGCAAAAAUGAAAAGGUUAAAAAUAAGAAAUGGAAGAACCCAACGAAUACGAAUUAAAAAUCAAGUGAAAUCUUUAGCGUGAUUGAGAAUUAAAAGACAUCGAAAAGGGUAAAAUUAAAAUAAAUUUUUUUAAAAAUGGUAGAUUUUCAAGAAGGACGAAUUAAAUAUAGAAUGAGAUCUCUAGUGUGUAAGCAUUUGGAUCAUGUUUGCUUCUAGAUAAAGAAUUUAUAUAAACUAAUUAAAUGACAUCAAAUGUAUGUUUGAAUAUAUUAUUAAAAAAUGAUUUAUUUAUUUUGUAUAGGAAAAUUAGAAAUAUUUGUUAUGAUAUGCAUGAUUAAAGAAAGAAAUGUGAUAAUGUAGAUUGAUGUAAUUUUGUAUGAUUGAGUUUCAUUUAAUGUAUAUAAUGAAUAAAAUAUUAUUAUAUUUUGGUAUUUUAUGAUAUUAUAUUCACCUAGAAUUGUUAACCUGUUCGUGUGCAAAACAUCUAGUUAAGCAACAUGGGAAUACUCACCUCUUUCUCUUUAAAAUUUUAAAGAUGUCAAUGUAGUUUAUGAGAAUCACAAGAAAACAAGGAAGAAUUUCAAUAAGUCCCAUGAAGUCAAGGAACAACCUCAAUAAUUGUUUUAAAUUUCUAUUAAUUUUUUUGGUAUGUACUACUUUGAGUUAUAUGGAUUAUAGUAACCUAACAUAUAUAUUUUAAAUAUUUUAUUCGAAAAGAAAAUCAUGUACUAAAUCCUAAUUCAAUAAAAUUAAAUGAAACUAGAUAUCAAUUUAUUUUAGAAAAAUCAUAUUAUGAGGUUGAUUGUCAACUUGGAUAAGAGUAACCUCUAAGCUCACACUUUCGAUCUAGGUCAUGAGUUUGGCUCUAGAUUAGUAGGAAUUCAACAGUGACAUAUGCCUUGAGGAACCCACUUGAGAAAUUUGGUUUCUUGAAAGGUAACAAAUGAAGUGGUUAAGCUAGCAAUAAGGGAAGAGAGACUUGUUUUGGGAAUUUCUUCAAAUUCCAUACUGUUCUCUCCCUUUCUGUUUGACAUUUAAGAGUAUGAUGUGUUAAUCUAUCUUCAUACUCUUCCAUCUAAAGAGCAGACUGGGUUGAUUUUGAUCCAUUCUACGUUCAUCCCUUUCUUUAAAGGUGACCCACACCUUAAGAUUUUUGGUACAAUGUCCUACACUUGAAAAAUACCAAGCUCCAAAUGGAGAAAGAACACCCAUAAGCAUUCAAAUUGUUAUUCUUACAAAACCAUGGACAUAAAUCCUCAAGAGGACAACAAACAAGAUAGGAGAAAGAGAGCAGCCAGCCCUAGACAUGGAGGACAUUAUUUGAAAAUGUAAAUGGAGAAAGAACACCCAUAAGCAUUCAAAUUGUUAUUCUUACAAAACCAUGGACAUAAAUCCUCAAGAGGACAUCAAACAAGAUAGGAGAAAGAGAGCAGCCAGCCCUAGACUUGUAGGGCAUUAUUCCAAGAUUGGGGCAGGGUAGAGCUCAAGGACCUUUUUCCAAGAUGGCCUGCUACUAAUAUCAUCCCACCAUGCACUCACAUGCUCUCUCUCCUUAAUCAAAUACAUCUUGCCCAUAGCACCCAAGUAGUUAGUGAAAGGAAUGUGGCUGAGAUCAGCAAGGCUAAAGAAGUCCCCAGCCAAGUACUUGCUCUUAGACAGCCUCUCCUCGUAAAUGUCCAACACUUUCCCAAGAUUUUUCUCACUCUCUUCAAUCACUUUUGCAUCUGCAGGAAACCCCAUCUUGUCACUGAACAGAACGUGAAGAACUAAAUUGUAUAUUGGUGGGUGGUAGUUUUGUGCUUCAACCUCUAGCCACUGCUCCACAGUACCCCUUUCCUCUAUUGUCUUCCCAAGCAAAUCAGUUCCUUGAGACUUGUACUUCUCUGCAUAGUACCUUAUGAUAGCUCUUGAUUCUGCAAAUCAAAUUAAGAGCCAUCCAUCAAUGGUUUAUUUUUCUGAUUUUAGUUACAUAAUAUGAAGAAAUUUUGCAAUCCUUGACAUAAUUUUUCCUAGAAAAUUUCCAACCAAAGAAAACAAACCUAAAUACGAAAGGAUCACAAAAAUUUUACAAAGGGAUUUACCAUAUAAAGUAUAAUCUCCAUCUUGAAUGACAGGAACCACUCCAAAAGGCUGCAGUUCAUCAGAGAAAAGCAAUGGAAACUAUAAGCAGAUCCUCUGAUAGAUAUAGUUGAAUUUGAAACAUCAAGGGUGAUCCAAAAAAGGGUUGUAAGUUUAAUUUUGAAAAACUCCUCUUCAUCUUCUCUCAAUUUAUAAUCCUACCUUUUAAAACCAGAAAAUGGGCAGUAUCAAGAAAUUCAGCUUUCUGGGUAACUUUAAAAUCAAAAUUCCUCCUUUUUCUUGUUCUUUUUCCAAAGACUUUACUGAGAAUCAAACAGACCCUGAUCCAAAAUAAAAAAUUCCGAAAAAAAAAAAAAAAAAAAUACCUGUAACUUGAGGUAUUCAGGAUCCUUGUGCUCUCCUUUGAUGAUAUCAACUGGGACAGUCUCAAACUCAAUCUCCUUCUCAACAAGGCAAAUAAGGACACGCUUUGGACAAGCAAAGGCUGGGCCAUACACCUUCACCACCAUUUUUUUUUCUUCUUCGUUUUUUUUCAGGGCAACCAAACAGCUUUAAUAACUGAAUACUAAUAGCCCUUGAAGAGAGCCGUGAAUAAAUUUAUCACUCCAUCUUUCUCCUUUUCAUUUUUUCAAACUAGUACAUAACCGCACCUUUAAAAUGUGAUUAUAUUUGAUAUUUUCUUUAAAGCAUUAUAAAUAAUUUUUCAAAGUUUUAAAGGCAAAAGAUGACGUUUUAUCAUCUUUUUUUUCUUCAAAAGUUUUGCAAUAUUUGGUUUCGAAAGUAUUAAGAAAAAAAAAACGAAAAUUGGUUUUCUUAUGUUUUAUUUUACCGUAAAAAAAAUAUAAUUAAAAUUAAUUAAAAUUUUAUGCAUUUUAAAAUUAUUUAACAUUUAUAUAAUAAAAAAAUAAGUUAAAUGAGUUUGAAAAAACCAUAUAAAAUAAUUUUUAAAAUUUAAAUCUAUUUUUUAUUUUCAUUUACUCUUUUUUUUUCCUUUUAUAUUUUAUUUUUAUUUUUAUUUUCUCAUAUUUUUUCUUGAAUUUUUUGAGAGCCAAACAUACCCUUUAUGUUUUAGGUUUUCAAGAGUAUUGUCAAACAAAUAUUAACACCCUAUUUGAUAACUAUUUUUUAAAAUUGUUCUUUAAUAUUUUAUAAAAUAAAAAUCUUUUUGGAACCUAAAAUAAUUUUAACAUGUUUUUUUAAUAAUUUUUAUGUUUAAAGCUUUAUUUUUAAUCAUUAUACAUGUUUGUUUAAAACAAAUGAAAAUAACUAAAAAUAACUAAAAGAUGUGCAAAAAAUAGAUUUUUGAUUGUCAAAUAUGUUUUUCAAUUUUUUUUCUAAGAAAUAAAAAAUUAUUCUCGAAAACAAUGGUAAAACAAACCCUAAACCAUUGAGCCUGACUCAAAACUUACACGACAUUGAAUUUAACCAAUUUCGUUGGUCCAAUUGGGGUCAAUAUUCUUUUGUAGGCCAGCCUGACAACCCAACCCUUGACAGGUCAUGUAAAUGUUGUCCACCCUCCCUUUAUCUUUGGUUCUAAUAGUUUAUAAAUCAUCAUUUUCAAUAAUAUUUCAUAAAUUAUGAGUUCCUUUUUUCAUAGUCAUAUGUUUCAACUAUGUUGAAUGAAUGAAUGGUAGCAACUCCUAUCUUCCUCUAUAAUGACAGAGGUAGUUUUGAGAUGACAAUUCCAACUUAUCCAACACUUUCAAUGAGUCCAUUUCCAAAAUUAUGCCUAACCUUUGAAAAAGGUGCUUUCAAAUAUUAUAUAUAUAUAUAUAUAACUGAAUUAAGUUUAUGGAUUUACUUAGACCAUUUUAUGGAUCAAUAGAGAAUUUUGAUUUUUGAAACAUCUUUCAAUCUUGUUCGAGAUGGUCUAACCAACUAAUCACUAAGUUAUCAAAGGUAAGAGUCGUAUCCCACUAAGAAUACAUGUAUCACUAUCCAACCUAACUUUUGAUUCAUUUUUCAUAUCAUGAUUCAUUUCCAUUUUCAUUCUAUUUCAAAUCUUAUUUUCAUAAACAAAACCCACCAUUAGAGUUUGUUUGCUUGCUACUCCAAAACAAAAAUUGAGAAAAUAAAAAUAAAAAAAAUAAAAAAUGAAAGCAUGUUUAGGGAUGAGUUAAAAAAAAAAUCUUAAAAAUAAAAAUUAAAUAGAGUGUUUUCUCAUAAUAUAUUUAAAUUGUUCUUACUUGUUUUCUAAGAAUUAUUUUUUAAAAAUACUAUUCAUAAAAAUUAAUUUUUUUAAUAUUUAAAAAGAAAUAAAACAAGUUAAGAACAUUUAAAGUUUUCAAACAAAAUUUUAUUAUGCAUAAUAUUCAAAAAAAUAAUUUAAAACUUAUAAUUAUUUUUAAAAAUAUUUUCCCAACAUAACCUUAAUUUUCUUUUUUCACUCACCCCAAAGUAUAUAAAAUACAUAGUAACAAUUGUUAUUAAAAAAUUAGCUCUCUUUUCUUUUUAGAACUAUCAACCAACCAAUAUUUGUGUGUAUGAGUUCCUACAUAUAUUUGGUUAUGAUUUAUUUAAAAAUGAAUAUACCAUCUUUCAAUAACUACAAUAAAUAAAUAAAUAUAUAUAUAUAUAUAUAUAUAUAUAAUUACAAAUUUUAAUAAUAUUUUAUUUUUAUAUUUGAUAUAUCAAAUUAAAUAAUAAAGAUAAAUAUAAAUGUAUUUUGAAAAAAAUCCAAUUUUUAAGCUCAUUUAUACCCAUUUUUUAAAGAACUCAUCUGAACUCUCCAUUUUCACACUUAAUCUUUACCAUUCAUUUAAGGACAAACCCUGAAACUCAUAUCUUCCUAUCACCAACCACAUCUCCCUUUUUUCUCCCAUCUUUCUUUCCCUUUCUCUUCUUUUCUUUCUUUCUCUCUCUCUCUCACCAUACCCACGCCUAUUGUGACCACCAACCACCUCUUGCCAACAACUCCUAUUGUUAGUCACUGGCGUCUCAUUCCCACCCCCUCACUAUCUCUCUCAUGAAAAAAAAAGACAUGUUGUGAAUCGAUUCAUUGGAAUCGAUGAGGUUUAACAAUAUCACUCUUAAAAGUCAAAAAGCAUAUUCCAAACAAGAUAUUAUUCAUAGAUGAUGGAUUUCAAGGAUUUUCAAGUUGAUGGAUUUCAACAAAAUUCAAGAUAGAAAUUGAACUUUGUAAUAAACUUUAUAUUAAAAUAAUACUUUGAUUAUAGAAAGUUUGAAUCUUGAAUUGAUACAAAACUUUGAUUACAAUGAAAUGUUUUGAAUACAAGAGAAGAGUUUGAAAAAGAGAGACAUGAUUUUUUUAAAAGGAUCUAAGAAAUUAUCCACCCACUUGAACCCUAAGGGUAGCUCAGUUGGUCCUAUCUUGAGUUUGCUCCCCAAUCAUCAUUAGUUCAAGUUCUUUCAAGAUCGCUAAGGCUUACUCUCGUUAAGCCCACGAUUAUAAAAAAAAAUUCCACCAACAACUCUUGAAAUUCACCCACAGUGCUAUAAAUGAAUGGAAUUUGCUCUUCCUAAUAUUGUUACGGUUAAUUGGAUAUAUAUAUAUAUAUAUAUAAUUAUUCUUUUAAAGAACGAAUUUUUCAGUUUUUUAAAACUAUUUUGAAUAAUAUAUAAAAAAUAAAAUUAGCACAGAGGAAAGAUUUAAUUGAUUUCUGGCGAGGAAAAGUAUUCCAGAAAACUAGAUUUCAAAAUGUCAAUCACCUUCUGUUUGGGUUGAGAGAAAACUAGGGAUAAAAAGAAAAAGGGGGAAACUUUCAAAUCUCAAAUCCGUAUUGAUUUGGUUCCCAGAACGUAAGAUUAAAUAAGGAAAAAAAUUUGACAAACCCACCUCAAGCAGCGAUUUCCCUAGUAACCCAAAGUAACGAAAGCCACAAGAUUCAUUUUCCUUGUGUAAAAUUUUCUCGGCAACCAAAAAGAGACGGAAAGGAAGAAACGAGCCUUCAGAGGUGUGUGCGCAUCAUCACAAGGCCCAGAGGAGGGGUGCGUACAGGGAGAGUAGAGAAAGUGGGAGAAGAAGAAACGAGCAGCAGAUGUUAGAAUUCAGAUUGAAAACUAAAUCAGCAUCAUUAAAUUGACGAAUGUUCUUUCAGGUUUUCAUGUCCACAUGUAUCUGCCGCUUCAAGUUUUGCCUCUCUUCUCCUGCCUUUCUCAAAGCCCCUCUUCACCGCCCCCUUCUAUCGGAUCCUGGUGCGGUGGGUCCUUAUAUAUCAGUCAUGUGGGAGUUAGGGUUUUUUUUCUUUGGUCCUAGGUCUGCAUAGGUUAAAUGUACUAUUCAUAAUUCAAAUUCUCUGGGUGGGUCUAAACGCUAACAAUUCUUUCAGUCUGAAGCUAACAGUAACCACAGACUCAUCAGGUUGAGUUUUGGCUGAAUGGUUCCUCUUGCAUAAUUGUAUUUGAAAUUAAUAAUAACUUUUGCUAUCAAGUAAAAAGCAAAAACCAAAAAUUGAA